AUCUAGGAGUGCAUAAAUAAUAUUAGAUUAAUUUCAUACAGAUCUCUGCAAAUAUAGUGAAUGACAAAUAUAUUCCUAUAAAUUUCAACUUUCAUAUCUUAUUCCUGCAAAAGUCCUGAUAUUUACAAAUAUGUCCCUCUGAUUUAUUACCGUUAGAGAACUGUUUAUAUUUUUAAUUUUGUCAUCACAAAUAUGUCCCUCCAAAAGCCAUAACAGUAUAAUAUAAGAGGGGUAAAAAUCUCACAAACUAAUCAGGAUUAAAUAUUUAACCUAUGCUUAACUAAAUUUUCUAACGGAUACUAACACCAGGGACAUAUUUGAAAACAUCAGGACUUUUGUCGGAACAACAUAUAAAAGUUGAACUUUGUAGGGACAUAUUUGUCAUUAACUAUAUUUGCAGGAACUUGUAUGAAAUUAACCCGAUAAUAUUAUUCAUUUUUCAAACAUAUAUAAUAGUAGUGAUUUCAUUUACCGCAUCAUACUUCAUGUUUUACGGAUAACCAUUAAUCUGUCACAUAGAAAUAAUCUAACUACUAAUUUAGCUAUCAAAAUAUCUUCUCGAGAUGAUGUAACAAUUAAACAAUAGAAAUAUUGAGAUAAUUUAAUAGCUAAUUUGACUAUCAUUAUCCUGUAAUUUUGCAAAUAUUUCUAUUAUUACUUACAUUAAUAAAAUGAUGAAAUUAAAGCCCAGGUGAUCAAAUUGAAAUAAAAAUAAAGUUCAAUGACUAGAUUGAAAAUAAAUAAAUAAAUAAAUAAUAAAGUUUAGUGGUCUAAAUAAAAUUUUAUUUUAUAAUGUGUAAGUUAACAAAAUGUACUCAGACCCCCUCAACUAAUGCUGUUUUGAAAUAAUCUCCUCAACUUUACGGUUUUUUUCUUUUUUUUAAACCUCUACUUUUUUAACUUCUAUUUUUUUUUUUCAGUUUGUAUUAAUAUAAUUAGUACAAGCUAAAAAUUUAUAAUAUUUAAUGGUUCUACAGCUAUAAAUAGUCCAUUAUUUUUAUUUUAUUUGUUGAAAGAUAAUUAAGUUUAUAAAAUUUAAUAUAAUUAUUAAUAAAUUCAUUAAAAUAUCUAAUUAAGUUUUUUUAGAUUAGUCGAUUCAAUAAUAUCAACAAUUAAGAAUAUUUUAAUAAAAUAGUAAGGAUAAACUUUAAAUUGCCUCCCUGUUGUAUAACUUAUUUUUACUUUGUCAUUCUGUUGUUCAAAAAGUUUCUGCUUGUGGUGUUUAUCUCAUUUUCGCUUUGCUACCCCGUUGUUUAAAAAGUAUAACUUUGCCCUGCUAUGGUUUAGCGCAUUUUUUAUUUUGCCAUCCAAUAAUUUUUUUUAAAAAAAAAAAUUUACUUUUCCGUCAUUUUUCACAUAAAGUUUUUUUUGGUGAAAUAAAAAAAUUAAAUCACAGGGGUCAAAGUGAAAUUUUUUGAACCACGGUAUAGCAAAGUGAAAAUAAGCAAAACCACAGGGGAAAAUAUGAAGUUUACUCAUUAAAAAAAUAAUGUUGGACCUUGACUAAUUUUUAGAAAAAUUCUAUAUCAAGCUGCUAAUAAAUGGGCUGGGCUUACCAAAGCCCAACCCUUUAUGGAUGUAAUUGCCUAAUUUAGCCCAAACCCAUUCACACUCUUAACGGGUCAAAAAAUGGAUCCGAUUAGGAUUCGGAUCAAAUAGUAUUUAAUAAUCUGCAAAUUUGCAGCAUACAACCUAUUAGUAUAGUUUUGAUUAACCAAAGAAAGAAAAAAAAAAAUUUGAGAAAAAGGCAGCAUGCGAAUCGCUUUAUUUAUUAUUUAUUUAGGAAUUGAACUAAACUACUGAUUGAGGCAACUAGGCCUCAUAGAGAGAGAGAUGAAAAAAAGAAAAAGAAAAAGGAAAUCUACUUAACACAGUAAAGAUUCCAUAGGUUUUUUAUAGGGUGAAUCUCCACCAUCAUUUGACUUGUGGUGUUCUUUUUUAUUUUCUUGAAAAUUCUUCUAUUCCGGUCCAACUAAAUAACCCAACGCAAAGAGGCAAUUGUUGCUAACUUCCUACCCCCUAAGGCGCCACCUUUGAGUCUGUUCACUUUGUUGCUAACUUCCUACCCCCUAGGGCGCCACCUUUGAGUCCGUUCACUUUCCAAAACCUAUUCACUUAUAUGCAAUUAUGAGAGACGUCUUACUAGGUAAUUGGCCCUUCAACAAUAGUCUAGUAGUUUCACAACCCACGGAAAGGUGGUGGACCGUCUCUGGCUCAUCCAUACAGAAAACACAAACCUCCUCACCACGCCAACCCUUUUUUAGAAAAUUAUCCACUAUUAGUACCUUUCGUGUUAAACUAUCUACACAACAAUUUUAACUUGAUCAGUGAGUUCUUAUCUUCCAGAACAAAACUUAUGUCAAUGAUUCCACCAUCUUAUAGAAAGUUAUAGAGCAAGUUAAUUGAAAACUUUUUGGAUCGGGCCUAUCUCCAUCUAACUUCCUCCCUUCUAUUAAACAACGUAAUGUCAUAAAGCGACUCUUUUAGCUUCAAGAUCUGAUCUCUAUUGUGCUGUGAGCAUGGGAUGAAACCUGACAAAAUCUUACGUCACUUCCACUCAUUUCCUUCGAAAUAAUCCCUCACAUUGCAAGUUUUACUCUCUACCUCACUAAGAAUGCUACGGUAGGGAGGACCGGCCACUCCAGAUGUUCGACCAAAGGCUCACUAUUUGUCCGUCUCCAAUCGAAUAAGUAACUCCAGACUUAAAAUGAGUCAUAGUCGCUAAAACACACUCUGCAACAACUGUGAGUAAAGUCUAAAGGAGGCACCUUCUCUAAGCAUCUUUCAGGAGUUGUAAAGACUUUCAAUAAGAGAGCCCCACUGACGGAUCUUAUUUGAGAGAAACCUCUACUACCAUUUCGCAAGUAGAGCUAGCUUUAAGUUUUUUAAAUCCAAAAAUACUAAUCCUCCCUUCUUUUUACUUCUAUAAACCGACUUUCAAUGCACCAGACAUUGUCCCCAACAACAUAAGUCCCUCCUUUCCAGAAAAAGGCCCUCCGGAGAGCAUCUAUGCAACGUAUAACCCAUUUGGGCGCUCAAAAAAUUGAGAAAAGGUAUGGAGGCAGAUUCGAUAAAAUAGAGUUCACUAGGGCUAGCCUGCUUCUCUGCGAAAGUAGCUUAGCUUUCUAUCCUUCGAUCCGUCUCUCAAUUCUACCUAUAAUGGGCCACCAGUCUUCCUUUCGAAAUUGUUUGCUUGUAUGAGGUAAUCCAAUGUAGAGAAUUGGGUAAGACCCCGGUUUGCACUCUAUGAUCUCAACAAGUGUCUCACCCUAAUGGUCACCUCUACCCAGAUAGAAUAACUCAGACUUAUUCCUAUUUAUCUUGAAACUAGACGCCCAUUCAUGAAGAGAAGGUUUCUCAUUUGUCUUUUCUUAGCCUCAUAAAAAAAGAUUGUGCCAUCUGCAUAUUGAAUAAUAGCAAUCUUUAUUUCUCAAAAAAAAAAUAAAUAAUAGCAACCUUGCAAUCCUCAAUAGGUCCAACCCUUCUUAGUAGAUUAUUACUUUUUUUUUAGAGAAAUGUAGCAUGCUACUCGCUUCAUUUAUUUUUUUUAGAAAUAACUUAGCUGAAAACGUGAAUCAACUAGGAUUCGAACUUAGGAGCUGAGAUACCAACCAUCAAGCCUUUUACUACUUGCGCUAGGGACAGUCGGUCUUAAUAGAUUAUUGCUGAUAGCUCUUCUCAUCAUUCUUGCCAGACCUUUCGCCACCAGAAAAUAGAGAUGUGGGGAAAAAGGAUCACCUCGGAGUAGACUCUUUUUAGCUUUGAUCCAUUUAGAGAGAAUCCCCUUAACCAAAAUUGCAACUUUAGUGUUAGAUAUGCACUGCUCAAUCCAACCACACCACUUGUUGUUCGCCCCAAGCACAUCAAGAUCUUUCUUAGUAAACCCUUAGCUCACUCUGUUACAAGCCUUCUCAAAAUUAGCUUUAGUUCUAACACUUUCCACUCCUAUCCUUGACCACCAACUAACAAUCUUGCUAACAGUAGAAAAGGAGUUCAGAGUUAUCCACCCUUUUAGGAAAGAAGCCUGAGAAAAGGAGAUGAUCUAUAAUUUCAAGUCUGUUUGUGAGUACCUUGGGUAUGAUCUUUUGAACACUGUUGAUAAGAUUGAUAGGCGCUGAAUCAAUAUCUAAUUUAGCUCCCUUUUUCUUGGGAACUAGGCAAAUUUAAGAGUAAUCCAUACGUCCAAAAUUCAUUCAAUCAUCAUACAAGUCCCGAAGAUAUUAAAUAGGUCUACUUUAACCACCUCUCAGAAGCUCUAAUAAAACCUCAAGUUGAAUCCAUCCGAUCCUAAGGCUUUUUUCUCGUCUAAUUGAAAAGUUGCCUUUCUGAUUUCUUCCAUAAAAAAGGAAGAGGUGAGUUGCUCAAGACAAAAAAUUGAUCUACCCCUAAAAAUAUUACUUCAAUCGCCUCAAACAAUGCAACUUAGUUUCAAAUAGUUGCAAUCUAAGUCUCAAAUAAUACAAUUUAGUCUAAAACAGUGCCUAUUUUAUAUGGUACAAUUUUAUUUCAAAUAGUUAAAAAUGAUGUAACUUUUUCUCAAACAAUGCAGCUUAGCCUCAAAUAGUGUAAUUUUGUUUCAAACAAUGCAACUUCUUUUUCUUUUUUCUUUUUCUCUGCUUCUUGGCAUUUCUUAUAGCGACCACGAAACAUAUUGACUUUUUCAGGAGAAUAAAAAAUAUAAUUUUCUUAUUAUUUUUAUUUUAUUCUUUCUUUCUUUCUUCUUCUUCUUCUUCUUCUUCUUCUUCAUCCUCUACAUUCUUUUCCGUUAUCGCACCUCCUUUGUUGCUCUUUGCCACGGUUACUGACCCUGUCCUGAUACGCUCUCCCUUCCUGUCAUUCUCAAAGCCUGCGGCACCCUCAUCGCCGUUGACGUCCAUGACCAUGCCCUUUGUCGCAGUCUUACCUUCACAAUCUAUGGCAUGUCUGAGCCGACAUCAAUAGAAGCAUAGGUGAGGUAAGAGAGAGGAGUGCAACAUCGACGUCGGGGCAGUGGAGAUGGAGGAGAAGAAGAAAUAAGAGGAAGCAAGAGGAGGAAAAGAGAAAGAAAUAGCAAGGAGGAAGGAUAUGAACCUGACAAAGAGACGAAUGAGGAAAAAAGAGAGGGAGAAAAAAUAUAAGAGUAUUUUAGUUAGUUUACUAAAAAAUUCGGACCGAAUUUGCAAAAUCCAAAAAAAAUAGCCCGUUAUUGCAAAAACUAAAAAUUGGUGGAUUUUUUUAUGCAAAAAGUUUAAGACAUAUAGCAAUCAAAUAUCAUUUAACUAAUGUAUUGUAUAAAAAACUAAAUUAUUUAAAAUAUUUAAUUAAUUUUAAACAUAUUAAAAAUAUUUAAUUAGCUUUCUAUAUUUAUAAAUAAAUUAAUAAUUAUAUAGUGUAUAUUAUUUCGCAGGACGAGUAGUAUCCCCACCCCCUACCCCAACUAGGGGUGUAAACGGGCCGGGCGGCCAGUGGGCCGCGCGGUCGAGCAUGACUGCGGGAUGGGUCGUGGCCCGGCACGGGUACUAUAGCACCCAUGCCGGGCUGGCCCGUCCUAGCUCCAUGGGUCAUGUUGGGCUGAGCUACUACGGCCCGAAGGCCCGGGACAGCACGGCCCGUCCCGUGUUGGAUUUGGGCCGUGCUGGGCCGACCUAUUUUUUUUAAAAGUAGUAGGUUGUAGCCUACAUGUAGGCUUGGCUGGCUUUUCUAGGGCCUAUAUUGCCUCGGACAGAAUAAUCGUUGGGUCCUCUUUUUUCUUUUUUUUUUCAAAAUUUUUUUUUUAUUAUUAAUUUUUUAAAAAAGGUUAAAAAAUAAAAAAAAAAAGAUUUUUUGAUCAAAAUGACCAUAAUGCCCUCAUUAACAUUCAAAAAUUUGAUUGUUAGAGAGGGCAUUUUGGUCAAAAAAUAAAAAAUAUUUUUAUAUAUUUUUUUAAAAAAAUUACAUUUUUUUUAAUCUAUAACUGCUACUAAAAACAUCUAAAUUUAUCAUAACAAACAACUCUUCAUUCAUCUUCUUCUACAAAGAUUAAUUCUUCCUACUCUUACACUUUCAAUUUUAAUUUUUUUUCUCAACUUUCAAGUUUACUUUACAAAUAUUUUUAAUUUUUUUCAACAUUUUUUUUUACAAAAUCUCUCCUCAAUUUCACCACACAAAAUUUCAAUUUCAACACAAUAAUUAAUCUCUUUUUUUUUAUUUUUUUUAUUUUUAAAUAUUUUUAUUUAAUUAUUUUUAGUAUUAUUGUAUUUAUUUUUUAUAACAAUGUCGGAUGAAUUUUCUCAUAUAGAUUUUUCUUAUACUGAUUAUACUCAUGAAUAUUAUGUUAGUAAUCAAUCAGAAAUUGUGUCACGCCCCGGAUUACUCGUUUCCCCGGGCACGCCGACAAAUCCGCCGUAUACAAAAAAAAUUUUCCUGUAUACGAAGCGACAGCUGUACCUGUAAUCAAACAAUACUACAACCAAUAGUAUAGAGCUGUUAGAAGAAAUGAUAUAUAUAAAACAGAAGUUCACUAUACAUACAACAUCCUGGUGUACAAAACACUCGCUCCAGCGAGAUACAACAAAAGUAUGUAUAUGAACUCAAAAACUACCACUGCCUGUAGCUGAUAUACUCUAGCUCAGCAGCAACUGGGAAGGGAUCUAACUCGCAACUCCCUUUCCACGGUUCGUAUUAGCAGCAGCAGCAGCCGAAGAAGAAACCUCUGCAAAAGAUUCCAACAACUGGGCGUGAGAACUACUACAAAAGUAGUCCUCAGUAGGUACCGCUACCGACUUCAACGGCUCACCUACUAAGUCUACAGAUGUAAACAAGUAUAGUAAGAAAACUGAAAUAAAUCUACAGCUAUAUGCACCUAUACUAUCUUGGUCGAACACCAACAAUCUGUAGGAAAUAGUAAAGCCUGACCCAAUCUCACUAAGGACUGUGAACACACUCGUCCCGCCUGUCGAAGCUACACAAUCUGACACCAAACCAAGUCGCCAAUGAAAAGCAAGUCCAAGCAGGACUAAACGACACCAACGCAAAAGCAUAAAGCCCGACUCCGGAGUGGCACUCGUGAGCGCUAUCCAACCGAGUAUGCAAGCGUAUCUCUGUCGAGCUCAAUCAAGCUCUCACAGGCUAUAGUCAAGUAAACAGGGUCUAACAACUGAACUCACGUGCCCUCGGCACAAUCUGAUGCAAAAAUAGCAAUCUGGGUCUACCGUCAACCUCAACGACACCCGACAAUCCGGAACAGCCUAAACACUGCUGUAAAAAUACACUCGGCACCUCAGCACGAGCGUAAAUAUAUUCUACACUAUUCUGGGUAUUCAUCGCCCACAAACUGCGGCGAUACUAACAAACUACUGCUCACAGAGCUAAAUCUGGUAGUUUGUUCAAAUGGCGGCGUAGAAGUGUCAGUUUUCUCCUAAGUCAAAUCCAAGCCCAACAUGCAUAUUUUAGCUAAUUUUUUAUGCUCCAAUUCAAGUUCAUAGGCAUGAAAUUUCAAGAAUCGAGCUAAACAAUAUACCAAACAAAGCUAAAAAUACAUAUUGUCAACACAUAUAGCAUUAGGAGGAAACCCGUAGAAUUCGGUAAGCAUCACUUUAACCCACCACGAAAGCACGUCCAACAACGGCGAGAAGUCGAAAGAAGCGAAACCGCAUGCUCGCCCGGCCUCCCCACGACGCUAGCAUGACGAACGCACACUCGAACGGCACCGCGGCACGACAUCGGCGACAAUCUGACUCCACCCGAGCUCCUCCUUACGUACGGCUGAGCACAAGAGGAAGAGAGAGAGAGCACAGCAAAACCCCUCCUCAGCCUCUCUCUCCAUCCUAUAUAGUGUAGAGGGGAAAAGGUGACACAAACGAGGCAAGAAAAGACCAAAAAGCCCCUUACCUACCCUAGUGUACCGGUACCACUCCAAUGUUGUACCGGUACCCCGCAGCAGAAUGGCCAACCCGAGAGCAGUCUGUGCAGAAAAAAUGCACUGGGCACCGGUACGCCCUUGUGUGGUACCGGUACCAAUUGCUGAAAAUAUGAAAUUUGCAGAUUGCAAUGCUAACUCUCUGCUCUCGCGUCCCGCUGAGUCUACUUUGCGUCUAUUUCGCGUCAACAGGACUCGGACUUUUUCCGACACUCUCUCUAGAGCCGUCGACAAGCCUCAGCUGCUGAAUUCCAGGGUUACUACAAACUGCAACUGGUGGUUCUACACAAGAUGACGACGGCUCGCAACCUAAACCAAAUUUAGACGCAAGUUCUAAAAAAGCGUCUAAACAAAGAAUAAGCGAAGUAUGAAAGUACUUCAAUAUCAAAGAAAUUGAAGGACAAGACAUGCGAGCUGUUUGUACUAUAUAUGGAGUUCAUUAUUCUUGUGAUAGUUCCGAUGAAACAGGUCAUCUUAACAGGCAUAUUUAGAAACAUCAGGUAAAAGAAAGUAAAGAAACAAAACUAUCACAACUUGCUUUUACUUCUAGCGGAGUUAGUACAUUUCAAUCGAAGAGAACUUGCUUGUAUAUUGUAGGAGCUGAACAGCCAUAUAAAUUUGCCGAAUGUCCAUAUUUUUAACACUAUGUGAAAAUAGCUUUGAAUCCCGCAUACAAAAAAAUUUCUCGAAAUACUAGUCGCAAAGACUCAAUAAAAGCAUUUCUUGAAUAUAGACAAAAUUUGAUUUCAAUUUUAGAAAAUAUGAAUUCAAAAAUUUCACUCACUUUCGAUAUUUGGACUUCAAGAAAAGAACGUAGUUUUAUAUGUAUUACUGGACAUUGGAUUGAUUCUAAUUGGAUAUUACAAAAAUGAAUUAUUGGUUUUCAAGAACUUGAGUUUCCAUAUACUGGUAUUCAUAUUGCUCAGGCUAUUGAAAAUGUUUUGCAAAUUUAUAACAUUAGCCAAAAAAAAUUUUCAAUUAGUUUUGAUAAUGCUAGCAAUAAUAGAACCGCAGUUCAAAUUUUGAAAAAUAAUUUGCAUCCUAUCUUAAAUGAAAAAUUAUUUCAUAAUAAAUGUGCAUGUCAUAUUAUAAAUUUGUGUGUAUACGAGGGAUUAAGAAUAAUUAGUCCACAAAUAAAAAAAAUAAAAGAUUGUGUUAUGUUUAUUCAUAGCUCCGGUCCAAGAAAAUAUGAUUUUAAAAGUUUAUGUAGAUAAUUGGGCCAAAAGUAUAAAAAAAUUUAUUUUCAAUGUUCAACACCGAUGGAAUUCCAUAUAUAAAAUGUUGCAUUAUUAUUAUGAGUAUAGAAAUAUUUUAUCUAUUUUCUGUAAUGAGAAAAUACAGUAUAAUUUCAUAACUAAUGAAGAAUGGGAUAUUGAACAAAUUUUUAUAAUUUUUUGCAACCAGUUUAUGAGUCAACCAAACUUUUGUCAAGAGUAUAUUAUCCUACUUCAUGUUAUUUUCUUAAUCAAAUUUUACUUAUGAGUAGUCAUUUUGUUGAAUAUAGAAAUUCUUUUCUUUUAGGUCAAAUUGUUUUUAUGAUGGAAUCUAAAUUUAAAGAAUAUUGAGAAGAAAUUCCUAUUGUACCUCUUUUGGCCUCUAUAAUGGAUCCUAAAAUUAAAUUAAAUGGAGCAUAAAUUGCUCUUACUCAAUAUAAUGAAUUUUUAGAAAUUAAUUCAACAAAUUAUUCAAAUAGAAAAAAUAUUUUUCAAAUAGUAAAUAGUAUUUUAUGUGUGUAUGGUGUUUAUGUAACUACUUCGGGUAGUAAACGACCAUAUUCUUCACAGUUAUAAAGCAGCAGCAGUAGUAGUGGUAAAACUAGUAAAAAUAUAAUUUUAUCUUUAGUAAGAAAACAAAAACAAACGGAUUUUAAUGCACCUUCUUUUAAUGAAUUUUAGUUUUACUUACAAACCGAUUUUUCAAAUCUUUUUAAUGAAGAUGAAUCAGAAAAGAUAUUUUAGCCUGGUGGAAAACACAUGAAAGUACAUAUUCCAUACUUUCUGCCAUGGCACGUAAUCUACUAACUGUGCACGUUUCAACAAUGGCAUCCGAGUUUGCUUUUAGUGCAGGUGGAAGAAUAUUGGAUGAUUAUAGAAUCCGGCUUAAGGAGGAUGCAGUAGAGGUUUUAGUCUGCUUAAAAGAUUCGUAAGCUACAAAAUUAAGAAUACAGAGUUCAUGAGUUUACAUUUUUAGAUGAAACAGAAUUAACUACCUAAAAAUAUACCAACACUUGUGGCAUGCUAGAGUGCAAUCGCCCCAAUCUCCUCACUGUUGCUUAUUAGUCUUUGCACCUCUUCUUUUUUAUUUGGUACAUCUCUUUAGUAGGUACCUCUUUUUUAGGUAAAAAAAAUGAUGUAAUGAAGAACAAAAUUAUAUUGAAUUUUUUUCUCUAUUGUUUGCUAAUUGGUUGUAUAAACAAUGCCAUUUUAUUUUAAAUAUAUUUUUGAUUUUUUGGAUUUUUAUAUUUUUCUCCAAUGUAAUUAUAUAAUAUGACUAAUUCAAAUACCAAUUUUAUUAUUUGUGUUUUAAUUUUUUAAUUUUAUAAAAUUUUUAAAUGANAUUUUAAAUAUAUUUUUGAUUUUAUAAAUAUUUGUACUUUCCUCCAAUGUAAUUAUAUAAUAUGAUUAAUUCAAAUUUUACAUAUUUUUUGUGCUUUUUUUUUUUUCAAAUAUCAAUUUCUCUUCAAAUAAUAAAAAAUUAUGAAAAAAAAUUAAUAUUAAUUUUAUAUUAAAAAGAUAAAUUUAUUGUUUGUGUUAUAAUUUUUUUAAAAUUUAUAAAAUUUUUGAAAGAGUUUUAAAAAUGAUGGGUAUAAUUGUGUAAAUUAAAAACUAUAAGUUAAAAAGUUAUAAUUUAAACUCUUUUUCUUAAAAAAAUAAUUUAAAAUAAAAUAUAAAAAAAGCUGGAAAAAAUGCCUAUUGGCUAUUACCGGGCUGGCCCGAAGCCCAGCCUAGGCCCGGCCCGGCCUAUCUUGGGCAGGCCAGGUGUCGGGUCGGGCCGGGCUGAACCUUACACCCCCAACCCCAACCUAGGGAUGUCAACGGGUCGUUAGGUCGGAUUUUCAAAACCCGAACCGGACUCCAAACCCGAAACCCGAACCCGAUGGAUUUUAAAAAUUCAUAUCCAAAGCUGAACUCGACCAAAACUCCGAAACUCGAACCCAAAAAUUCGAAUCCGAAAUAAUUAUUUCUGUUUUCAAUAUUUCAAAAUGUAUUACAUUAAAUUUAAAUUUUAAAAAUACAAAUUCAAAUAUAACAUCAAAAUUUCAUAUAUAUAUUAUAUAUAGUAUAAAAUAAAUUCGGGUUCGGGUCGGGUUCGGUCAAAAUCCAUAUCCAUAUCGGAAUCCAUAUCCGUCGUUCUUUUGUUUUUGAUAUCUAUAUCCGAAACUAUAUCCAUUUAGCAUCGAGUAAAUUGGUUCUGUUCGGAUUCGAAUUCAGAUAAAAUUUUGGAUAUCUGUACCCAUUGACAUCCCUACCCCCACCCUGUCUUCGCAAGUGGAAAAUUCUUCUUCUUUUUUCCCGAUUUAUAUUUUUGUUAGAGACAAAAUUCUCCCCAUCCGUGCCCUAUAAGAGACAGAUCGGUGUGAAAAUAUAGUUAUGUGGAAAAAAGGGAAAAAGCUAUGUGUACACCCAAGAAUGAGUGUACAUUCUAGACUCCACCCAUCCAAGGGUGGGAAAUCACUCGCUAGUCAUAUGAUGUGAUUUGUAUAGUGAAUGCCAUCUUUUGAUAGGAUGUGUGUAAAGCUUACACCCACUUUUGGAUGUAUAUCUAGUAUUGCUCGGAAAAAAUUGUCUUAAUCCGUCUUAAACGAAUUUUUUUUUUUAUAAAUAGUCUUCCUGAAAAUUGUAUUUAUAAAAAUAGGCCUCCUUCAAAAUUUAUUGUAAAAAUAGUCUUCAAAUAGGCCAGGUCAGCUCGUGGGGUAUAUAACGCAUAUAUGCGGUGAAUGGUUCACCGCAUUCAGAUAUGCGGUGAACCAUUCACUGCAUUUGUGGGUCUAGGCACAUCGCGCGGGAAAACCGAGAAUGCGGUAAAUGGUUUACACCCAACCGAUGGGGGGAACAACAUGAAGGCGGUGAAUGUUUACCGCCUUUAUAGGAUUUUUAAAUCCUUAUGAAAGCGGUGAACAAUUUACCGCUUUCACUUGAAAGCGAUAAAUGGUUCACCGCUUUUAUCUUCUCCCGCCAGCUCACUGCCCACGUGACAGUUUUGAACCUAUUUUCGUAAAUAAAAGUUUGAGAGCCUGUAUUGGAGGAGACUUGUUGGAUAAAAAUCCCGUCUUAAACCCCUACAAGGCCGGCCCAUUACCAAUACCAAGCCCACGAACAAUUGACAUAGAAAUCAUCGAGCUAAAAAUAUAAUAUAAUAUAUAAAAUAUAUGUAUAUUAUUAUUAUUAUUAUUAUUAUUAUUAUUAUAUGUCUUAAGUACGAGAUACGCUUUUGAUCAACUCCCCUCCUCUCUCUCUCUCCCCCCUACGUUUAUUCCACAGCAAUGCUCCGUCGCAAACCAAAACAAAAUCAAAACGAAGCCCACGCCCAAAUCUGAAAUCUCCAAGCGCAAAGCUUCUUCCCCCAUUUCGUCCCCCAAAAUCUCCUCCACCGCAGCCUCCGUCGCCGCCCCCUCGCCGGAACCCUAGCUCCCUCCGAUCCGUAAGUAGUAGCCUCUCGUCCUCUCGUCCUCUCGUCCUCUCUCUCUCUCUCCCUCUCGAUCUCCUCUCGUUCAUGUCGCUCCUCUCCUCCCCCCCUCGCUCUCGGAUAGCGAGCUAGGGCUUCGCUCGAACCCUCCUGGAUUCGCCCUUCCAUUAGGGCUUGUCGGCGAGGAUCGGGUUAGGGUUUGCGCGCCGGUGGAAUGAGAGGUCAUGGAGCAAGAAGAGGAGCGGUUUUGAUCGGUUCGUAGCUGGCGCAAAGGACUCCUCUUUGUAUCGGGAUUUGGGUGGUUUGUGGUGAAUAGUAUGGGGGAUUCGGCUGAUCUGGUGCUGGAGUUCUUGAGGAAGAACCGGUUCACGAAGGCCGAAGCCGCGCUUCGAGUCGAGCUGGACAGCCGCAGCGAUUUGAAUGGGGUUCUCGAGAAGCAGAAUCCGGAAGCUGGGGAAGAGAUUGGGGUAGCUAGUAGGGUUACUCAUCAUGGUACAAGCACGAUGAGUGGUGGUGAGCUCUCGAAUGAGUUCAUUGUGAAGGAGAUUUCAGAAACUAAGAAGGGUUUCGGUACGAAUCGAGUUCAGCAAGAGAGUAGUUCCGGAGAUCUUUACCCUCUAAAUUUGCCUUCAAAUUUGGGCAAGGACAAUGGGAGCAUCGAGGAGAAGUUUACGGAGCUAUUGUUGUCUGAGGAACCAAAACAUCGCCGUAAUGGGAGGGGUAAAGUUAAAGGUGAGCUUGUGUUAGACAUUAAUCAGAACUCUGGUUUUACGGCUAACAAUUCAGAGAAGGGUUGUUCAGUGAAGACGGUUUUCCCGUUUCCUGAUGUAAGUGCGAGCGCCUCAUCAAGUGACGAUCAAGUCCUUGGUCAUGGCGAUGAUAGAAAUGAUGUGAAGAAGAAAGAAGAGUUUAACGAUAUUAGGGAAGAGAGAAGCGAGCACCUAAAUAUUGCACAGAGUAAUAAUUUGCGGAGCUUUGAUUUACCGCUCAUCGGUGAGAGACAAAGGGAAGACCUUCCGAGGCUGCCGCCUGUGCGAAUUAAGUCUGAAGACAAGCUAGUUAAUAUGCAUUGGGAAGACAAGGUUGACCGGGAUGGAUCUGGAGUGAAGCUCUGUAGUGCGGACAAUACCUUUAUGAUUGGGCCUUUUCUUGAUGCUCCGGCUGGGCAAGAUAUGAGCGCUUCAGGUAUGUUGGUAAUUUAGCCCUCUGUAACUCUGUUAUCCUUCGAGAGUUAAACGUAUGCACAUACCCUUUACUAGCUCACAUUGUGACAUAGUCUCUAAACUUUUCACUUAGACAUUCAAGUUUCAUCCAUAACAGUAGAGAAGAUUGAAGAAUUUGGAGAAGAUCGAAGAAUUUUACCUUCUAGCUAGUCUCUAAACUUUUCAAGUUUCAUCAAGUGACGAUCAAGUCCUUUGGGUGCGCUUAUUUUCCAGUGAAAUCUUGUUAAAUGGACAAGAAACUGAAUGAUAGGGAUAAUGGAUAGAUUCUCUUUUAUCCUAGAAAUGGAAUUACUACUCAUUGAUAACUACCUUUCUUUGAUUUGAUGCCUUAUUAGAAAUGCAUUCCAAGGAGCUUCUUGAUCAUGUGAUUAAUUUUAAUUCUUGCCUUUUAAGGUUUUCUUCAGUAAUCUUUACUAAGAGUAGCAUUUACCACACUCAUCAUUGUAAAGAUACUGACAUUCUAUUCUUGUAUGAAGUUUUGAAUUUUGGGAGGUUGCAUAAGAUUGUGGUUUUAAAGCUGGAAGAUUCAAUUGUAGGUUGUAACUUCUGAUUUAUUGUAGAGGCAAGUUAAUUCGAGAUCAAAUUCAAGAAGAGUCUUUUAACUCUUGGUACAUGCCUUGCUUUGAUAAAAAGAGUGUGUUAACCCUCGGGACAUGCCAUGCUUUGAUAAACACCUGAUUAUUUAUUUGAAAUUUUAUCUCCAGAAAUUACUUCAAAUGAUGAAUUUCCAGAGACCAAGCAGCCAGGUUGUAUCACUUUUUAUAUUUCAGAUUAUGAUAGAUUUGAACAUCAUAUUUGUAGCAUCUGAUAAGAAAUGAAUUAAGUAAACAUCAUUUCUUCUAGGAAUAAUAGAAUGUAAACAAAACUGCUUAAAAUAUCUCUAAAAUAGAUUUGGCUGUUAGUUGAUUGUUGCAAGUUACAGCAACCUAUUUCCUUGAGCAAAAUGUUUUAAAAGUAUACCUUUAAUAUUUCUCCCUGUUAGGCUGUCUAAUUUGUCAAACUCCAUUAUGUGUCUAAGGUAAACAACUUGCUUCUCGUCUUUCACUUUUUUGCUGCUACUGCAAAAAAUGGAAAAGGUUGAGGCAGUCAUGAGGCCAGAUUUUGCUAAUACAUUGAGAUGUAUAUGCUUCCAAAUUUUUCCUGAAAUGGGGUGGUGCUGGUUGGGUCCAUAUUGAAAUGAGCACUGUUUAUUUAAUUGCUAUGUCUUGUAGAAGGAGAUAACAUAAGAUGACUGUUGGGCAUAACUUUGGUUGAUAUAAGGUUGACUAGAUAAGAGAUAAGAGGGCUGAAGGAUGAUAAAGUUGAAAUCAAAGAUUGCUUUGUUUGAAAAACAAAAUGAUAUUUUCCUCUGUGGAGACAGAAAUUUCUUGGUCGAUUUUCACUUUGGUUUAAAUUUUCUUUGGUCAUUAAAUAGAUGAUGUAACAUAGAUACGAAACUGGCUUGAGUGGUCAUUUAAUGCAAGGCAUGUUGCUCAGUUAGUCCCAUAUAGUAAAAGCAAUCUGAACUUGCAAAACUGAAUUGCAGUCUGAAGUUGCAAAAGUGAAAAUCUAUCUUGCCAUGCAAAACCCCUGUGGGGAGAUGGGAUGUAUGUUACUUUGUGUUGUUGUUUGACUUCAAGCUCUAGCAGACAAUUUAGCUUUUACUUGUUUAUUCUUUCCUUUUUUCUUUCUUUCUUUCUUUCUUUCUUCUUUUUUUUUAAAAUUUUUUUUGAGAAACCAAUUUGGGGUUUAUGUUCUUCCUGCUUUUUUUUUCUCUUAUAAAGCCAAGUUGGCCUGCACCACUCUAGAACAUAGUCCUUGUUGUUAUUGAAAUAUCAUCAGACUAUCUAACAAGUUACAUUAUGAUAUUUAACAAAAUCAUAUGUAAUUCAAUAAUGCUAUUUGUCCACUCUGCUACUUUCCGUGGUGUUUGUUUUCUGCAUUUUUUAAUGUGUAAAAUGUUGAUAACCUGCUGGAUUUGUCAUGAUUUACAUUUUACCUGCUCUGAUAAUUAAAAUUUACAUGUAACCCCUUGUUUAGGGGAGUAAAGGGCAAGUCACAUAUUUUUAUGGUGGUGCCUGUGGUUUUAGCCUUAGUCAAAUUUCAACUUUGUGUUUAAAUCUUAAUCUUUUUGAUUUGUAUCUUUAGGUGGGAAGCGAACAAUUGGAACUAGUUGGUUGUCUGUGAGCCAAGGCAUUGCUGAGGAUACUUCAGAUUUAGUAUCUGGUUUUGCAACUGUUGGCGAUGAAUCAAUUGACUAUCCAAACGAGUACUGGGAUUCUGAUGAAUAUGAUGAUGAUGAGGAUAUCGGAUACACACGACAACCCAUUGAGGAUGAAGCAUGGUUUUUGGCUCAUGAGAUUGACUAUCCUAGCGAUAAUGAGAAGGGAACCGGUCAUAGUAGCGGUUUCGAGCAACCAGAUCGCCUCCAAACAAAAGAUGAAGAUGACGAUCAAUCUUUUGCAGAGGACUCUUACUUGUCAGGUGAACAAUAUUGUCGGGAAAAGAAUAUUGAACUAAUGGCGUCUUCUGAGGUGCCAAUAAUAGAUGAAAAUUGUUUGAUAGCUCAAUAUGAUGGGCAACUUAUGGACAUCGAAGAGCUAACAUUAAUGCGGGGAGAACCAGUUUGGGAGGGUUUUGUUACACAAAGCGAUGAACUAGUUUUGUUAGGAAAUGGGAAUGUUUUAGAUGAUUCUGAGCAGGCUCGGGUCAAUGGUCCUUUGUUAGGAGGUGAUCAACAUGAUUCAGUUCGGUCAAUUGGCGUGGGCAUGAAUAGUGAUGCUGCUGAUAUCAGCAGUGAGGCAUGUGAAAGCUUGGUAGGAGGAGACAUAGAAUACGUUCAUGAUAGCAAUGUUGGUAAAACUAGUAAGACCAAUCUGAAUAGUUCGAAGAAAGAAAAUGUAAAGGUGACAAAACAGGACCAAGAUAACUACAUUUUGGCUUCUGAAAAGGGUAUUUUUCCAACAGGAACAAGUAGUCUUGAUGGUGGGUUUUCUUUCCUACCUCCAUUAAGUACUGGAGACAUAGCGAAUGCGGACUCUGGUAAAUCAUUAUGGUCUGAGGAAGGUAAUGUUUUUGUCAGCGAUGAUGCUGAUGAACAUGCAAAUGGAAUGGGUACAGAUGAUAUGCUUGCUGCAUGGAGAAGAAAAAGUAGCGAUUCUUCCCCUGUAAGGAGUUCAAGAGAUGCAAAAACUUCUGAUGUUAAUAGAUCAAGAGACUCAACUGCAUCGUCUGCAUCGGAUUACGCCUUUGCUGAAACAAAGGAUAUUGAGAAGCUGAGAGAUCACAAAAUUGAUGGUGCACAGGAUGAUGCUGUGGCAAAUUUGGAGGAUGAAGAAGUGGCUGCAUUGCAGGAACAAGUAAGGCAGAUAAAGGCUCAGGUGGAAGAGUUUGAAACCUUCAACCUUAAGAUUGUGCAUAGGAAAAACAGGUAUAUUCGGUUCUUAUUCCACUUUUUAUUUCAUGAACGUGAUUAAUAAGGAAUCCACCUAUCCAUUUUCUUUGUUAAAAUAAUUGGAGACCCUCCCAAUUACAUACUUUGGCUGGGGAUUCAAUUCAAUUUGAGGAAUUGCGGAAUUGCUGCUAAAAUUAACAGAAUCUGCGAGUCAACUGACUAAAAUAGCUUAAACAGAAUCAUCAAAAUGUUGAAGGGGUGUCAGUUAAAAAAAAAGAGAGGAGAAAACAGACUUAAAGUGUCUAUCUCCAAAUGGCCUAUAUUUCAGGAGUGUUUGCACAUUUUCUACUUUUUCUUUUUGCAUGUGGCACUAUCCUGGAUUGUGUAAUUCAUGAUAUAUAACUUCUUUUUUCCUCUUUCAUAUUACAUCAAAUAGUUAAACGGAGUUUUCUUCUCGUUAUACAUUUGAUUUUUUAUUGUUUUCCCUCUGUCGUUUUUGCUGAUAUUUUACCAGAACUGGCUUUGAAGAAGACAAGAAUUUCCAUGUUGUUUUGAACUCUGUUAUUGCUGGGCGAUAUCAUGUUACCGAGUAUCUCGGGUCAGCUGCCUUCAGCAAAGCUAUUCAGGCACAUGACUUGCACACCGGAAUGGAUGUAUGUGUGAAAAUCAUAAAGAACAAUAAAGAUUUUUUUGAUCAAAGCCUUGAUGAAAUCAAGCUUUUGAAAUAUGUCAACAAGCAUGAUCCGGCGGACAAGUAUCACAUUCUGCGCUUGUAUGAUUACUUCUACUAUCGGGUAAAAACUAUCAAACUCUUUCAUUUCUAUUUUGAGUCUUAUAUUUCAUUGAAUUUUUUUUUCUGAAAGUUCAUUAGUAGUGAUUUUGGAUUACAGCAUGGUUAAGUGAAACGUGCUAAAAUAAUGGUAGAUGUAAAGGAGAAUAGAACACCUUUUGUACUACACUAGAGUUGCUCUAGAGCUUGUUUAAUUUAGACAGUCCUCUUAAGCUCUUAGCCAGUGUUAUAAUGGCAUCACCUUGAGAACCUUGAUUAUAUCAUGGCAUUUCAUAUAAUGGAGUGCACAGUCAUCUCAUUAUCCUUGGGUCAUAUCGUUUUUAUUUUUCUUUGAUGUUGUCAUGGAACUCGAAGAUUUCAUGAUUUGCCUGUUGGACCUGAACUAGUCCAAUUUAAAUUUCUAUGUUUAAGUCACAGUUCUAUCAUCCAGAUCAAAACUUUGAAACAACAUCCUUCCUGACAUUUUUGACAUUUUUGAUUAAACUCAGGAAUUUGGACAGGUUUAGUGCAAAACCUUUUUUUUUAAGAAAGUUACACACACAUACACACACAUAUUUAUAUAGAUAUAGCUUGUUUAAUUUAGAGAGUCCUCUUAAGCUCUUAGCCAGUGUUAUAAUGGCAUCACCUUGAGAACCUUGAUUAUAUCAUGGCAUUUUCAUAUAAUGGAGUGCAUAGUGAUCUUAUUAUCCUUAGGUCAUAUUGUUUUUAUUUUUCUUUUUUGUUGUCAUGGAACUUGAAGAUUUCAUGAUUUGCCUGUUGUACUUGAAGUAGUCCAAUUUAAAUUUCUAUGUUUAUAUCACAGUUCUAUUAUCCAGAUCAAAAUUUUCAAAACAACAUCCUUCCUGAUAUUCUUGACAUUUUUUAUUAAACUCGGGAAACUGGAUAGUUUUAGUGCAAAGCCUUUUUUUUUUUCUAAAGAAGUUACACACACACACGCGCGCGCACACACACACACACACACACAUAUAUUCUAGCUUGCUUCUCUUGUUAAUGGCGAGCUUGCCCAUUCUGUUUGCAGACCUAAAUUUGUAGUCGAUAAAUCUGCUUUCAAAUUGAAAUUUCAGAGUCUACUGGGCAAACUAAUAUGCUUUAAUGUCAGAAAGGUUUGGUUUGAAGCUGGCCAAUUUGUAAUCUUUUUCUUCAAACUGUGUCCCAGUGACCAAACUUGUACAUUAGUAACUAGGUAAUUUCUUUAACUUUAGCUUGCAGUAAUUAGUGCAGUUCUAGUUACAUGUCAAGUACCUAGUCUUGUGUGACUUUUAAGUACCGUGCAAUUUAUGUGCCUUUUCAACUGCCCAGUCAUUUCUCUAGCAUUACUUGCGCAAAUAAAGCUUCUAUCAUGUCAUAUAUGAACAUGUUUAGUGAAGAAUAGGAGUUGGUUCCUUCUGGGACUGUUAAACUAUUCAAUUCGCAACUUUUCUUUGGAUACGAAUAGGUAUGGCUGCGCUGGUUGUCAAUACUGACCGGAAUAACCAGGUUGUAGCCUCUUUCAUGGAUUCAGAAGAAGUUUACAAACUUGUGUAUAUAUAUCUCUUGUGUAGCCAGUGGUGUGACAAAUUAGCUAGUAUAAAUGCCCUGGUAUGCUUCGAGUUACUUUUGUGUCCAAAACAAGAAUGCAAUUAUGCAACACAUCCUUAGCUGGAGAUGGGUGAUAUAGUACGCAGCAUCCUAGUUUGCCCUUGCUCAUCUCUUAAUCCUGUGAUAGAACUGUACAGAGAACCACGAAUUUUGGUGUGGUAAAUGUCUUUAUGCCGUAGCUUGACUUUGGUGUGUCAGUCAUCUUCCUUAUUAUUGUCUGUUAUCUAACAUAACUGGUAAUAUUAGAUGGCAAUUGGCAAGCACUGAUAGUUGCUUGAUGCUCUUUCAACCUAUUCGUCUUGUAACUUUUUGUAAUUUAGUCUUUCCUCGGCCGUUGCUUGUUUCUUGACUUCUUAGAGUGCUGAUGGUCUUCAAUGACUGUAGUUUUAAUCCAAAACCUGAAAGUGCACUAUUUGAUUAUGGUGCUUAGCAGACAGCAACAUGCACAAAUAAGCGAGCAACGUCGUUUGGUAGGAGAAAGGUCAUUUGGCGACAAUACUGGUGGGGAGAGAGAGAGAGAGAGAUAGAGAGGGCACUGUGGUACUGCUGUGUAGAUUAGGGUUUGAUUAAUGUUAGCUAGAGCCAUUAUAUAAAAUGAAUUGAUUGUUGUGAGACAAAUGGCAAUUUGAUUGAAGAUCAUUUUAUCAGAAAUUUCUAGGUAGGGCUUUAUCAAGUAUGUUGGGCAAGUCUAAAGAGCUUUUUUGGGAAACCAAUGCUAAAAAACCUAUCAGACAGGGCGUUAUUUCUGCCUGGACUGGAUACCAGCCCUAUAUAUAUUUAAUGGUGCCUAUAGACAUUGAUAGGACUCUAGCUGAUGUUUCAGUUAAUUAUCUUUUUAAGCCAUUGCCUUGUACAUUAGAUAACAUAGGAGAAAUUCUAAAUUUAUCUUCUAAGUUUGGAAUCUUAAAGCCUACAGAUAACAUAGGAAAACUUUCUAAGUAAUUGUAAGUUUGGCAUCUUAAUCAGAACGUGAAGAUUAAUAAUGUCACAUGCAACUUCUUAAGAAUUUUAGGCUGUGGAAUAUUUUCAUGCUGCCUUUUAGUUUUAUGCCAUUUCUCUAUGAUCCAUUGUUAAGCGAAAAGAUCUAGUUCGUUGGGUGUGAAAAAAAAAAAACAAGAGAAAUGAGAAAAAGAGGAAAAAUAAAGUAUACAAAUAUUUAUAUGGUUCAACCACUGGCUUAUGUUCACAGGCGAAGACGGAGCGUAGACUUUCAUAAAUAAUCCAAGCACAGUACAAAAGAUGACUCACAAAAACCCUGCCUUCAAAAUACACCCUUGCUCUUUCUCAUUUUCAGCCCCAAAUCAAUGGAAUAAAAGAUAUAUUUAUAUUGGUGCCUAAAAUCCAAUAAGACUGAAUAAUCUCAAUAAGAUUAGGCAUAUUCCUAGCUUAACUUAAUAGGUUGUGAGGAAUAGAAUAGGGUUGGGAAACCUUGUGGUUCAAGAAUUUGAGGCAUAUCGAGCUAUCUCCACCUUGUCUUGAAUUCUUCAUCUUUUGCCAAAACCCCAAUGGUUCCUCGAGUGCUACUGCACAGACAAAUUGUCCAUGGAAUAUUGAAUUUGGUCAUCAAAAGAGGCUUAAUGAGCAAAUCUGCUUGGUUCUUUAGAGAACCAAUCUUCUUCCUCUCCAGUUAACGCCUUGUGCAACCUCAUUGCAUUAGAACGACUUACAUCUAAACUUGUUGAAUAGCGAAACUGCUGGAGCAAUCACACUUCUUGAUCUCAAAUUUCAUCAACAUUUUAAACACCCACUUGAACAAUCAGACUCUGAUAUUAGUUUCUUAUGAAUUCGCAACUUGCUUUGAUACCAAAAUUGCUUUGAUACCAGUUUGUUACGAUAAAAGCGGAAAUGAUUUAGUUCAUCGGGUGCGAAUAUACAAAUGAGAAUCGAAAAGAAGAGAAGAAAAAUAAAGAAUACAUAUUUACGUGGUUCGAUUACUCAUCUAAGUCCAUGGGCGAAGAUGGAGCAGAGACUUUUAUUAUAAAGUCAAACACAGUACAAAAGAUGCCUCUCACAAAAAAUAAAAUAAAAUAGAGAACACUAUUUACGUGGUUCGACCACUGGUCUACGUUCAUGGGCGAAGAUGGAGCAAAGACUUUAAUUAUAACCCAAAUAAGUACAAAAGAUGCCUCAUAAAAAAACCCUAGCAUCCAAAAUGCACCUCUACUCCCUAUCAUCUGCCGCACCAAAUCAACGAAAUAAAGAAUAUAUUUGUAUUAGUGACUAUAAUUCAAUAAGACUAGGAAUACUCUUAAUAAGAUUAGGUAUAAUCCUAGCUUACAAGUUGAGAGAAAUAGAAUAGAGUUAGGAAUUGUUGCGGUUCAAGAAUACGAGACAUAUCUGACAUCCAUCAGUAGAAGCAAGAAUUGUCUGCUGAUAAUGCUUUCAUUUUUUUCCGCUGCUAUUACAGCUAUAGAGCUAUAUAUUUCUAUUUCUUUUUUACUUGGAACCAAUAUAAUUCUUUAUGUCCAUUAUAUUAGUUGACAAUUCUAUAUGUGGCAUUUGUUUCUAUUAGAAGGUUGUGUAUCUUCAUUCUUUUUGUCGAAUAACUUCUCUCCUCGGAUAAAUAUGCUAUGAUAUUAUAUUAUGGGCUUAGUUUACUAAAUGGGAAUAUCGAUAACAAUCCCUUUUUGGAAGAUGAUCUAUUAUUGUGUUAAUUGCACCAUUGGUUCCUAAGCUUUUGCUCGAAUUUUUGCUUUCCUGAUCGUUUAAUUUUUUCAAUUGAGUCCCCAACAUUUAUUACUUUAGUCAACUAAGUCCCUGCAGUCAAAAAGCCCAGUAAUUCCAAUAGAAACUGUAAUGUAGGACAGAAUAUAGGAUCCUACAAUUUAGAGGGCUCCAAAAUAUGAUUUAUAAUUUUUUUGAAAGCUUUUGAAUUUCUAAAAUUUUCUGAAUUUUUUGAAUAUUUUUCAACUUUUAAAAAAUUUUCAGAAUUAAAAAAAGAAAUUAUGAAAAUCAAUAAUUAAGAAAAAUAGGAAAAAAUUCAGAAAAAUGAAAAGGGAAGAAAAAAAAAAGAAAAAGUAAUCAAGACUCACUCCUGAACCGAACUCGUUUCGGGAUUGGACUUACUUUAGGGCGAGUGCAUACACGAAAGGAAAAAAAGACAUCAUUGCCAAAGCAUUUGUCUUCAUUAUAGAUUUAUAAAUUCAUAUUCAUCAUCAUACAACGAAGUCGUAUGCCUUAUUAAUACUAUCCUUAACCUUACUUAUACAUAACCUACUUAGGAUUUUAACUUAUCCUAAAUAACUAAAAUUUUUUUUUAUCUAGAGAUUAACUGAAUAAUAAAAAUCUAAAAGUAAAUACUAACUAAAAGAUAAGAUCAACUAUUGUAAUCUGAUUUUAAAAAAACAUUGAAUUCAAGUGAUUUAAAUAGAUCAACCAAAUUGGGUCAGGCCAGUUUUGCAUCAUUCGCUUCUGUAGCACAGGGUUUCAUCCUCAAGACUAGCUGGAUUGUAAGGUGAUAAAAAACAACCAAGUGUGUGGAAUAAAGUAAUGCGGUCCAACACUUGCAUGUUGAACAACUUGUAUCAUCAAAGUCUCCAACUUGGUGUUGAUGUAGGAAUGACUAGUAAGUCGAUGACGCUUUAUAAAGAUUGAUAUUAUGGAGAAAAGUGGUUUUGGUGCAAUUUGAAGCUCAAGUAUGGAGGGCGGAUAUUGCUGGGGCAGUGAGGGUAAAUCGAUUUGUAGUCUUAUCUCUUCAACGCACUCAUCUACCUUGGCUGAAUAACUGCGGAUGCUCAAAUUCUAACUCCGUCACAUCUAGAACUUAUUUGCAAUCGGAUGGUGCGAAUGGACUGGAUCAGAAUUGUCAUCUCCUGACUUGUGCUAUGGGUGGCUUACUUUGUUGAGCAAUUAGGGUUUCCAGUUGAACUUUUAGUUGGAUCCAUCAAUACUCAUCUCUUAUCUUACUCAUCAUUAAAAAUCAUUUUCAACAAUUUUAGCAUCAUCUUCAAAAUCUUUCAACCUCCUUUUUUUCUUUGUCUGAAAAGUAUUUUGUUAAAAUCAAGAUGAAAUAUUUGCUUUUGUCUAUAUCACCAUCUCAAAUUACCUUAGUAUUUCCAUUUGAAUAUCGUUUUUUUUUCCUCCCAAAGUAUGACUUCUGAUCAUACAAUCAUUCAUCAAACUCGACUCUUGUCAUCUCACAUAUUUUUUUCACUGACUUUAUAUGAAUCCUUUUUCUUCUGCUAUACUUCCGGAAAACAUUUUUUAAGACAUUCUUUUGCAUCCAUGAUGUUUUUUUUAACUACUUUUUCUCUAUUUUUUUCUCCACACACUUUUCUUUCACCUUUUCUUUCACUCUACUUUUCUUUAUUUUACUUUUUCUCACUUUUUUUUUUUAUUUUCACCCUGUUUUCUUCCACAAGCCCCAAAUUUUUGAGGAAACGGAAUUGUCAAAUAGCCUAAGCUCUGAUGCCAAAUCUGAUAUAGGAUGGAAUGUAGUACCCUGCACUUUGGAGGACUUCUAAAUAUGAUUUACAUUAUUUUUGAAAGCUUUGGCAUUUCUAAAAAUUUUUGAAAUAUAUAUAUUUUUUUUAAAUUUCAGGAAUUAAAAAAGAAGAAAUUAUGAAAAGUAUGAAAUUAAAGAAACAAGAAUAAAAUUCAGAAAAAUAAAAAAAGAAAGGAAGAAAAGAAAAUUAGAAAGAAUAAUCAGGACUCACUCCUGAACUGUACUCUCUUCUGGACUGAACUCACUCUAGAGCGAUGCAUUCGUGAAAGAAAAUAAAAGACAUUAUUGCCAAAGCAUUUGUCUUCAUUAUAGAUCCAUAAAUUCGAGUUGAGCUAGUAUACUAUUAAUGGUAUAUAAAUAGUAUUUACUAUCUAAUUUUCUGCUAUUGGAUUAUUACUAUACCACCUACCACCACUAAAUCCUAGGCAUCCGAUGGCAAAAAAGUUGGUAGCAAACACUCUCAAUAGUAUAAAUAGCAUUUUAGCCCCACUAUGUAAAUUCAUAUCAUUAUCAUACAAAGAAGUCUUUUGCCUUAUUUAUACUAUCUAUCCCCUUAUACAUAACCAAGUUAGGAUUUAAUUUUAUCCUAAAUAAUGAACUAAACAAAACCUUAUCUUGAGAUUAACUGAAUAAUAACAAUCUGAAAUAAAUACUACCUAAAAGAUAAGAUCAACUACUCUAAUCUGAUUUUUUUUUUCAAAAUAAGCAAUAAAUUCAAUCGAUUUAAACUGAUUGACCAAAUCAGGUCGGCCCAGUUUUGCAUCAAUCUGCCACGUGGCAACCUCUGGCUUAUUAAACAGGCUUAUUGACAGCAUAGACUUUAAUUGAAACAAGUGACAAACUUUAGGGACUUGAUCGAAACAAUUAAAAAGUUUUGCAAUUAAAAUGAGAAAUUGGGUAAAGUUUGGGCAUCAACAUAGCAGCUCACCCUCUAUUAUGUACUGUAUCAAGUGUUCUAUCUCAAGUGAGAAAUCUGUUUAACUGUUCAACUAAUUUGUGUUUUAUUCUUUAGGAACACUUGCUGAUAGUUUGUGAGCUUCUCAAGGCAAACUUAUAUGAAUUUCACAAGUUCAAUAGAGAAUCUGGAGGGGAGGUUUACUUCACCAUGCCGAGGUUGCAGGUUGUUUAUUUAUUUUGUUUCUUUAGGUUGUUUAAAUUUCACCACCCCGUUGGCCCGCGUUUUGAACUUUUGUUGUUCAGGUUAUUUCACAUUUUUGCUAAUUUCCUCUACAGUCAAUAACUAUUCAGUGUCUGGAGGCACUUCAGUUUUUGCACGGCCUUGGUCUUAUUCAUUGUGAUUUGAAGCCUGAAAAUAUAUUGGUGAAAAGCUACAGCAGGUGUGAAGUCAAAGUCAUUGACCUUGGGAGUAGCUGCUUUGAGACCGACCAUUUAUGUUCGUAUGUACAGUCACGAUCGUACCGCGCACCUGAGGUUAUAUUGGGUCUUCCUUAUGAUAAAAAGAUUGAUAUUUGGUCACUCGGAUGCAUCCUUGCUGAACUUUGUACCGGAAAUGUAAGCUCUAUUUUCUGUUUGCUAUAAUGUUUGAGAAAUCAUUUACCGACAUAUACGCCCGUGGAAAUUUUAAAAUUUCUUCAAUGCCUUCAAAAACUUAAUUUCUUAUGUAUGUACCCUUGUUCUUUCAAAAAUAUCCCUGUUUUGGAAUCCACUUCCCCUCCAUAGAUUGGAUGAUUCCCACAUUUGAAGGAAACUGCACUUUCAAGGGUACAUAUAGAAGUUCAGAUUUUAUGGGACUAUAUAUGUAUAUAGUAAAUAGGUUACUUUGCAGGUGUAUACGUAUAUAUAUAUAUAUAUAUAUAUAUANAUAUACUUUUAUCUCAAGUCUAUUUUAUCUAAUAGCAUCAUAUAGGCCUCAAUACCAAACUAAGAUUUGUUUUGUAAUGAUAGGUUAACUUGCAAAGCAUCCUCACCCAAUGACAGAUGACAACUCUUAAUUUUUAGAGAAAGUAAAACAACAAAAAAUAACAAAAGAGGAUACAUUUAAAUUUUUACCUUUGUAGUCAAAUAAAUAUCUUAGAUAUACGCAAUAACUACAUGCAAUAUUCAUCCUUCACUUCUACAUCUUAUUUUUAUAAAACAUUUAUUUAAAUAAAUUAAAAAAUGAUGUCCCAUAAAAACUUGGAAUUUAGAAGACGAAUUUCCAAUGUUUAUAACUUGGUUAUUAAUGGGCCAUGUGUCUCAGCCUACGUACUUGAACAAUAGGCCCAAUGUAUUUUCUCGAAAAAAAAAAGGCGCAAUGUAAAUCAAUGAUCGGGGCCAUAAAAGGCCCAGGAAAUCUCAGAUUGGGCUCAUAAAAGGCCCACAAUGACCUUGAAGGAUCUCCCAACCUUAGCUUUUAUUAUCACAAUUUCACAAAUCUAACUUGUGGAGCAUUUAUCUUUGUUUAUUUUUUCUUUUUCUCUUAGUUUUAAUUAAUCUUUCUUUCAGAAAGCCCAGGCACACCUGUAACUCCAAAAUUUACUAUUUAUUUUUAUAAAAUGUAAAAUAUAAAAAUAAAUGUUAAAUAAGUUAGACUACUGGUAUUAGAUAUAAAUAUUAAUUUUAUAAUAUUAAGCAUUCACAUAUAAAUUAUACAUUAAAAAAUAAAAUAAGAUUGAUGCAGUUUAAGUUAAUUUUAUAUUUAACGAAAAUUAAUUGCAAGAAUCGCAAACAAUGAAUUCUCUUCUCAUUCACUAACUACUGGGGGAUUACGAUGCCUACUAAAAUUAUUUCACUAACUAAUGGGAGACUACUAUACCUACUAAAAAUUUUUGAUGUACUUAUUGCAUUAUUUAAAUUCUAAAAUUAAUUUUUAUAACUAAUUUUUAAAAUUAAAUUUUAAAAUAACUACCCGCAGCAUCGCACGGGUCCCAUAACUAGUGUUUUUGCUAAAUGGCUUCAGUUAAUACCACCGCUUGAUGCAUGCUAGGUCAAAAGUGUGAGCCUCAUUACAAUAGCCUAGCUCAAGGUUAAGUAUAUAUAUAACUGUACUUUAUGCAAAGAAAACUUUUGAAAGGUUUCUUUUUUCUUUUUUGCAAUUUUUCCUUAACUUAAUCACACUAUAUGUAAUCUUAUUAGAAACUCCCUUCAUCAUUUGAUAAACAAAUUAAAGAAUUUAAAAGGAGCUCCUUGUAGAUUCUAUUUCUUUUCUUUUUCCCCUUUUUAAUCCACAUAGUUUCCACCUACUCCAUUAGUUGGAUUGUGACCACCACCACCUACGAGGGAGAGAUAUAACUAAUAUUGUGUAGGACGAAUAGUAGGUUUCUGGAGCAAAAACAUUAUAUGAGCUUCAUCCCUAUGAUAAUGCAUGUGAAUAUGAUGAUGCAACACUUUGACCACGUGACUCGACCGUUUGGUUGGUGGUCACGUGCUCCGUUCGUUGCACCCACCCGUUGGUAAAUCCCUCCGGUCAAAACCCUACUCCUCCCUCACCCACGUAAAAACUAUUAAAUGCAUGCACCUGAUUCGUGCACCCAUUUACUUAGUACACCAUCAUAAUUAGUCGUAAUGCAACUACAUAUACGUUUUGGAACUAUAGUUUUUGGAACAACUUUGAUAUUUUUCAAAAGAUGUUUUUGGACAUAUAUAUAUAUAUAUAUAUAUAUAUAUAUAUAUAUAUCUAUAUAUAUAUAUAUAUAUAUAUAUAUAUAUAUAUAUUAGAUUCUUUAUGACUUUAAUUGACUGAAUUUAUCAGUCUUUUCCUCUCUCUCUCUCUCUCUCUCUCUCUCUCUAAUAUUAUUAUUAUUUUUUCAGGUUCUUUUCCAGAAUGAUUCUCCUGCGACACUGCUUGCUCGAGUGAUCGGAAUUAUAGGCCCCAUUGAGCAAGGGAUGCUCGCAAAGGGACGGGAUACAUACAAAUACUUCACGAAGAACCAUAUGCUGUACGAAAGGAAUCAGGUUAGAAUUCUUCGCUCAAAAUGUUGUGUUUCCUUUUAGCAUUUCUUUCUUUCUCAAUGCAAUGAGCGUGUGUUGCAUUUGAUUAUUGCAGUGACAAAAUGAGUCCCAAAUUUUUCUUCAAAAGUGGCUUAUAUUCUGAAUUUGUAAACCCAGAAUAGGCUGGCAAAAUACGAAAAAAAUCAUGAGUUCAAUGUAAAGAAUAACUAUUUGACAUCAAUUCAUAUACUGUCAUCUACAUACAUCGCCUUCUCCAGUUGAAGUCCAAAAUUGCAUCUCAUUUUGCCAUCUUUGUAUAAUGAGAUUCAAAUAAGCUAUUUAAACAGCUCUCCUUUUUCAGGAAACAAAUAGGCUAGAAUACUUGAUCCCAAAGAAGACGUCCUUGCGGCACCGUCUUCCAAUGGCCGAUCAAGGGUUCAUCGAGUUUGUCACAUUUCUUCUCGAGAUAAACCCCAAGAAGCGCCCGAGCGCAUCAGAAGCACUGAAACAUCCGUGGCUCUCCUACCCCUACGAACCAAUAUCCUCGUGAAGUUACUUCUCUGCGGACCAACUUACCCAUUUAAUACCUCGAUUCCGUUCCAGUGCAUACAAAACUGUAUUGUUAUUCCACCAUGGAUGAAUGGGCUGUCAGAUCGACGAAGUCGGUGCUUUGAAGUAUUUAAGCAGCAGGGGAUUUGCUUCUGAGGGUCUUCUCUGUAAUGGGAUGGUUGCCGCCACUUUCCUUCCCUUUUGUGGUGUGGCUUUGUUGUCGUAACCUUUAGUUUUUGUUCAUUGUAUGCCAGAUUAUCAUCUAUAACUGGGGGUGGGGUGGUAAAAGGACAAUGUAUGUCCUGUUGUAUAUUAAUUAUCUCAUUGUUAUUGUUAAUGUGGAUGCGGGGUUGUAGGGAGCUGCAUCGCUGCAUCGCCGACCCGCCGCCUGAUGCCAAAUAGUGCUUCGGGCUACCGCCUUAAUGGUUAGUUGUUAAGCAAUUUUUCGUUCCUGGAUUUUAACCCUUGCUUCAAAGGAAGAUCUUUGUGGUUGGCCUCAAAUUGUAUCUUUGCGGAGUUUUUGCGUUUAUAGACGCACAUUUAUGGGCUAGAUAAUUUUUGUAUCAUCUUUCUCUAGCCGUUUUGAAAGCCAGAUCUUUGCAUUUCUCAUUGGAUUCUGAGCAUUUACUUGUUAGUAGAAGUUUAAUUUGUUAAUUCAUUUUCGUUUUGUUAUUACCUGAAUGAAAAUUUAAUUACUCGGCAAAAUUUUAAUUAGUUUUAUUUGAGUUUUACUAUGCUGACGUACAAUUUCGUGUACACAAAGUUUAUGCCAUUUGUCCGAUUCCAGUAAGUUGCUGUGGGAUUCAUGCGGAUAAGGAUGGGCUGUGGGGAGAUUGUGUGGAUCGGGGUGAACGCUGUGAGUUUCAUAUCGUUUUAGCUUAAUAUUUUUAUUAUUUUUUAUUUUUUUAUUAUUAUUUUUGUUUUUCCUAAUUCUAUGCGCACGUACAUUUAAGGAAACGUAGUACUUCGCAUUUUAUAUUUGGAUGGGUUUGGAUGGGGAAUAGAUUUUCUCUGGAUAUUUUAGCACUAAUAAUUUGCUAGUACUAGUACUAAUUUGAUUGAUCCUUAUAAAAAUAAGAUAAGAAGAUACAGAAUUUAUUUGAACUAUGAACCAUUUUAAAUUAGUCGCCCAGCCUUUUAAAAUUUUAAUUUUACUAUCCAAUAUUUCAAUUUUUUUGAUUUGAGUGGCACUUUAACUUAAAAUUUGAAUAUUUUAUUUAUUUUUACAAAUUUACUUAAUAUAUACCUCACGGAGUUUUUGUAACUAUAAAUUCGGUAAAGUAAUUAACUUAAAUUUUAAAGUUAAAAUAACAUCGACCGACUCAAAUCAAAUAAAUUAAAAAAUUAGAUAAUAAAAUUUAAAAAUUUAAAAAACUAAAUAAAUAAUUCAAAAUGAUCCACACAGUUUAGAUAAGUUUUAUAUGUUUUUAUCUAAUUAUAAAUCUACUAGAAAGAAAUCACGCAAGGCUAGCAAAUAAGAAAAGAGACUUCAAAUCUUUCAAAAAAGUCUCUAAUAUUUUGAUUGUUGCAAUAUUUGAGCCCUAAAAUAGUAUUCGGCAAUGAAAGCAUGCAUAUUUUUAAAAAAUAAAUAUGGAGAGAGCGCCGCACGAAAUUUAUUAUGUAGGCAGCUAUGUUACGUGAUCUAUAUAUAUCCAGCCAACCACAUCAUUUUAUUAGAGAGAAAAUUACAAUAAAAAUAGUUUUUAAAAAUUUAUAAUAGGAUAGAUAAAUCACGUGAGAGCGAUUUGAUUUGAUUACUCGAAGAAUACCACAUCAGCAAUGCAUUGAUAUAACGAUCUUAGGCAGUGACCAGUGAGUGAGUGAAUGAAUCGUUUUAGAACAAACCAACCAACCAACCAACCAACCAAUCUUGAAAAAACAAUCGACUAUGUACGCAACAGUACUAAUUAAGCAUCCGAUCAUCUUAAAGAUCACGACAGUUGAUCGAGCAAUUAAAACGAAGGGAUCGAAAAGAGCCAUACGAACGAUGAUCGGAUGAUCCAGAUCUCGCUAUAACAUUCUCAGGAUGAUGUAUAUAUCGAACCACUAACAGCUCACGAGGGCGGCACGCGGGGGAUCGCGGCCGCCGUCGGGCCCGACCAGCAGGGGCCGACAGCCGGGGCAGCAGGGCCGGCAGCCGCGGGGGGCGGCGGAGCAGCGGGCGAUGGCGUCGGCCCGGCAGUCGCAGUCGCAGUCGCCGUCGGCGGCGGCAUCGCGGCAGCCGGAGGGCGGGGCGGACGAAGGAGCGGCGCCGCCGGCCGCCGGCGACGAUGCGGUGGAUGUAGCGGCUGCCGGACGUGGGCGGUGGCGGGCGGCGCGCUGGAGGAGGAGGAGGAGGACGAGGUAGAGGAGGAGAUAGUGGAAGGUCGUGGAGUUCGCCAUUAAUUUCUUGUUUCUUAUAAUUGGAUUAGAGAGAGAGAGAGAGAGAGAGAGAGAGAGAGAGAGAAACUAGAGAGAUGAGAAAUGUAUUAGAGAGGGGGUGAAGGAAAAAGGCUUUAUAUAUAUAAAAGAUAAUACAUGGAGGGAGAGCUCCGGCGGUUAUGCGACAGUUAUACGAUCUGUAGAGAAUAUUUUAAUAUAUAAAUCUAUGUAAUUAAAUACGAAAAAAAAAAAAAAAAGCUUCAAAUACCAUGCCUAUAAUUUCAUACAUUUUUUACUUUAGUAUCCUAUGUGUGCUUGAAAGUGUGUCAAUUUAGUACUCCGUGAUUUUAUUUUAUUUUAUUUUUAUUACCACUUCUAUUAAUUUUUUUCGUUAAAUUAGUAACAAAGUUUAAACUAAGAGGUAGUAAAGUGAAUAUUCAAUAAAUCUAGGUAGCGUAUUUGAAGUUUUUUUGUAUAUAAUUUAAUAAAAUGUUAAUGGACGAGCUAAAAAAAAAGAGAAAUGAAAUUACAGGAUACUAAAGUGAGAAAGUGCAAACUCAACCCUAAAAAGACCAUUCAACCCUAAUAUCAUCCUAACCCCACAAUAAUUUUUCAUCCAAAGGUUAAAACUUUGGUAGCAAAAGGGACCAAAUACCAUUAAUAGUAUUCCAGCCCAACUUGCAUAAUUCUAUAUAUAUUUAUAUAGAGUACGGCUAGUAGCAUAAUUCUAUAUAUAUAUAUAUAUAUAUAUAUAUAUAUAUAUAUAUAUAUGUAGUUGAGCUAGAAUACUAUCGAUAGCAAACGGGCUCCGUUGCCACCCAUUUGUUUUCGAUGAUGGAGCCUCCAAAUUGACGAUCGGCACUGUUGAACAUGAUCUAUACUACUUGAAGCAUCUAGAAAUCAAAUUUCAUACUUUUUCGAUAUUGUUCUCUUGUCGAUCAAGUGGGCACAAAAUGAACGGCUAAAAAUGAAUAUUCUUUAAAAAGUGAUGAUAGGGAUCUUAUGAUCAAAAUCGAGAGUAUAGAUCUUGUUCUAAAUAGUUUAAAGAAUUUUCUAACCAAAAUUCAAUUGAUUUGGAUAUCUUUACACCGUUAAACGAGAAAGUGCUUCAUAUCGAUCAUUAAAAUUAUAAAUUUUGAAACCCUUUAAUCAUUAGGUUAAAAAUAUCGAAAAGAUUUGAAAUUUGGUUUCUAGAUACUUCAAGUGGUAUAGAUCACGUUCAAUCGUGCCGAUCGUCGACUUGGAGGCUCCAUCAUCGAAAACAAAUGGGCGACAAUAGAGCCCGUUUGCUACCGAUAGUAUUCUAGCUCAACUCUAUAUAUAGAGUGAGGCUACUAUGCUAUCGGAAGCACGGAGCCUUCCGUGCUUCCAGUUUGUUUUCGAUGUUGCGACUUUCGAAUCGUCGAUCGGCUCCGUUAAAUUUGAUCUAGAGUAUUUGGAGUACCUAGAAAAUAAAUUUUAUUAUUUUGCGAUAUCAUUUGCCUAGUAAUCGAAUGGGCUCAAAAUCAACAAAUUUCAAUGGCCGUAGUGAGCCGUUUGCAAGUUUAACGGUGUGGAAAUAUCCAAAUCAUGUGAAAUUUUGAUAGAAAAUUCUUUAUACUAUAUAAAACAAGAUCAAUAUCUUUGAUUUAAAAUUUUAAUGUCAUAUUAUUACAUUUUGUAAGAUUUUUAUUUUCAGCCGUUGAUUUUGAGCCCCUUCGUUCACUAGGCAAAUGAUAUCGUAAAAUCAUAAAAUUUAUUUUCUAAGUACUUCAAUUACUCAGAUAAGGUUUAACGGAGAACCGAAUCGACGAGGGUUUUUUCGAAUAAUUCGAAACAUCGAAAACGAGCUAGAGACGAGACUCCGUGAUUUUCGAUAGGUAUGUGCCUACUCCUCCUUAUACUAUAUAUAUAUAUAUAUAUAUAUAUAUAUAUAUUAUAUAUAUAUAUAUUAUAUAUAUAUAUAUACUCUGAAUAAAUACUUUUAUUUUUCAUAAAAUAUAAGAUAAUAUUAUUUCUUGAUUUUCAAGAUUACAUGGGCUUACAUGUUUUCACUAGGUCAUCAAUUUCCAUUAUAUUUCACAUAAAAUUUCCACUAGUUUUGUGCUUUUGCAAAUCCGGCUCGUUUUUUUUUUUUUUUUUCCUUUUUUAAACUUUGUAUAUUCGAUCAUAUUUUUUAUUCUAAAGAAUUGAGCAAAUUACCACUUUGCCCGAAAUAGGCAUAUAGUGCACAUAUUAAACCUAUUUGUAACUCUUGCUCUCUUACCAACCGUCCCUAGAGCAAGUGACAAAAGGCUUGAUGAUUGGUAUCCGAGACCUAAGUUCGAAUCCUAGUUGAUUCACAUUUCUAGCUAAGUUUAUUUCUAAAUGAAAUAAACGAAGCGGGUAGCGUGCUAUCUAUCUCUCAAAAAAAAACUCUUGCUCUCUUCUCCUUUGUUCUGUGCAGUCCUACUUCGUCUCCUUCCUCUCAUGAAAAAAUUGUAAAAUAUUAACGUCCUCAACUUAUUAAAUAGAUUCUUUUGAAUUAAUCCAUCACAUCAUAAUUAUAAAAAAAAAAAAAUCUAUUGUACUUUUUUUUAAAAAGAGAGACAUAAUUAACGUAUUAUUCCUGAUGUGGUGCAAUUAUGAAACAAUAGACUUUUUCCCUCUCAUCUCCCUUAUUCUGGAUGUGCGCAUCCCCCUUGCAUGGCGCCUUGGGCCGAUUGCAUGUGUGUUCUACGAAGCUUGCAUCGCAUUGGAGGAUGUCUAUAUUAUAACACUCACACCACAUUAUCUAUCCUCAAGGCGCCAAUCACAUCUCCUCUUUUGAGAGCAAAGUAGAAUAAAAUUAUUAUUUUAAUAACCAGGAUAGAAUGGGCGAACCAAAAUAAAAAAAAAAAUCUGAUUGAUUGAAGAUGCCGUAACAGCAGCAAUAUAACUAAUACAUUUUAGACUUCAUGAUACUGGGGAGCGGUGGUGAGAAAGUGCAAAACCACGGGACAUUAACUUGAUACACUUUAAACCACAAGAUACUAAAGUGAGAAAGUGCGAAACUACAGAAAUAGUAUUUGAAGUUUACCCCAAAAAUUAUGGCCCGAGGCUCCAAACAAAAUCAAUGCUUUGCCAGAAGCAGUUCCACAUAAACUCAAGCUCAUUCAAGUUGAUAGUUUCUGCAGAAGUAUUGUCUGAAUCGAAUUGUUCAAACAAAGCCAAUAGAACAGAUUUCAACUGCAAGUAGAAACAGAUGAGAUUGAGACAAGAAUUCUAAAAAAGUAGACUAUCUUUCGCAUCUUAGAAAACAAAGAGUCCGCUGCUAACUGACAGAGCAUGCAGUGCAACUUAAAAAUUGUCGAGCAACGAUUUCUCAUUGAUAAUAUAUAACAAUUGAAAUCAAAUGGCAUAGCCUAGUUAUAGUAUGAGUCAUUCCCCGCGCAUUAAGUUUCCAGAAAAAUACAGCAAAAAAGGGGGAGAUAGCUCACGAAUAACUUGAACUUGUCAAUUGUGUUAUCCCUGUCAUUAUACAUUUAAUCAACUACAGGUAUUCCCAAAUCUAAAACCCAACAGAAAAUCAACUUUGUUAUAAAUUAGCCCGAUAACCAAGAAAUAAAGAGGAAGUUAUCAUGACAAAAUUUAUCCCGAACCGAAGAAUAGCAGAUAUGAGUAUCAUGCACAACGAAAAAUUUAGCCGCAAUUUUCAAGUCGAAAUAUCAAUGAGAUUACAUAUCGCAUACCCUGGAUAAAAUAAGGCCUAUAACUAGGACACUCUCGGCUUGAAUCACUUGUGAUGUUAAAAAGAAUCUCCAAGUGUAGAAGAUUUAAGUCAUGUUUGAAGCUUGAGAGAAGGCCGGCCAGAAACAUAGCAAAUGAGAAAGGUGUCAUGCUAAGUCUUCGGAUGGCAAUUUGUUACAUUUUGUAAAGCAUAUAUAACAAUUUACAAUCCAAGCUUUAUUAGGAUUUCUCAUUGUUUGGUUGAAUCUCUUUUGUAUCCGAAACUGAAUAUUUGACAUGGAUAUUAUAGAAAUUAGCUCCAAAUUCCCUCUGACGCGGGCUUAAAAGCAGCGUUGGAAGGAAAGAAGCACAAGACGAAUAACACAAUUUCUCGACAAAGAUGGAAAUAUUAUUAAUCAACUCUAAAAACUAAUUACAUUAACCAAACGCUACGUAUACAUAUAGGAUCGAUACCGGGAUCCUACUAUAAGUGAUGAUAAUAAAUUGUAAUAAUCUCUAAACCUAAACCGAUCAGAAAUAACCAAAUAAUAGGACUCAAAAUAAGAUAAAAAAUACAAAAACUUCCCGAAAAUAACUUAAAAAUGUAAAAACGGAGGCCUAAACAAUUGAAUUUGCAUCCCAAACUCGGCAGGAAUGGUUUUGCUGAUCAACUCGUAAAUCUCGAAAAAUAUUUUCCGAAUUAGAGUUGCAUGCUGAAAACGGACACUCGAGUGAAAACUUAAGGCCGUUAAAAGAUUUUUCUCACCGAUUGUAAAAGUUGCUGAACUCAGCAGGAUUUCUAGCCCAGCUUGGUUGAGGCACGCUUUCCCUCCCUUUCUUUUUUUUUUUUUUUUGAUUGAUAAAACGUGACUCUUGGAUAAAAGGGAGGUGCAAUAUCAUAAUUUUUCUAUAUACGCACCAGUGAGGUCGAAACGACAAUUACCCAUGAACAUAUUCUCUCAUCUUUAAGCAAAUUCAUUUCUAGCAUUAAAGUAUUUACAUGAACAAUGUCAUCACAAAGUCACAACUUGUUUCGAAAUUUAUAUGGCUGAUACAAAAUUUCCCAAGGCUAAAAUAAUAAUCAAAAUAUAACUCUUUUAUGAUUUAUACAUCAAUCCAUGUGAAAAACUACAAUCUGCGACUAGGAUCACUGAAAUUCACAAAACUAAAACACUCCUAUUGGUAAACAAUCCUUUUGUUUACAUGAACAAUGUCAUCACAAAGUCACAACUUGUUUCGAAAUUUAUAUGGCUGAUACAAAAUUUCCCAAGGCUAAAAUAAUAAUCAAAAUAUAACUCUUUUAUGAUUUAUACAUCAAUCCAUGUGAAAAACUACAAUCUGCGACUAGGAUCACUGAAAUUCACAAAACUAAAACACUCCUAUUGGUAAACAAUCCUUUUGUUUACAUGAACAAUGUCAUCACAAAGUCACAACUUGUUUCGAAAUUUAUAUGGCUGAUACAAAAUUCCCCAACGCUAAAACAGCAAUUAUAAUAUAACUCUCUUAUGAUUUAUACAUCAAUUCAUGUGAAAAACUACAAUUUGCGACUAGGAUCACUAAAAUUCACAAAACUAAAACACUCCUAUUGCUUUCCAACGGGAAGGAUGUUAAUGAUUUCAAAUGUCCGCGAUGAGAUAUUCAGAGGAAAACUAAUAUUAAGUGCAUCACAUACAACACUUGUAAACAAAAGGAUCAGAGCAAGUAGGCAGGAACAUUGCAAGAAUAAAAAUUAGGUUUCAAUAAUGGCGAUCAAAUUGUGCAGAUAAGCUUCUCUACUGUAGCAAGAGAUCAAAAACAUCUCAGAAAUUCUAAUCCAACAAAAAAAAAAAAUCCAUUUACCUCAAAAAUUUUUCAAUGUUACGCCGCAAAUUCUUAGAUCCUAAUCCGAAAAGCCCAUAAAGUUCAUCUUUUCCCUAUCUCUUCUCCUUCUUCUUCUUCUUCUUUCUCCUCGCAUCCCCCAAAUCCCCAACGCCCCGACCACCAUCGAAACCGCUCCUUUCCCCAUCCACCUCCUCUCUCUUCCGCUUCUUCUUCUUCCUCAUCCCCCUCGUCUCCUCUGACCCCAAAACCCUAGCGCCCACAUCCCCAACCUCUCCCUUAACCCCGCCACUAGGGUUUUCCACUUCGCCACCCCCGUGAGGAUCGAUCUCGCGGUGGAGGCGCACGAGCUCGUCGAGGGCGGAUCUGAAGCGGCGGAUGUAGGCGGCGAUGUCGGGGCGCAGUCCUCCUCGCCGCCGGCGGCGAAGCGCGGCGAGGACGCCGCCUCCACGAGCGACGGCGCCUUCGACCCGCCACCACUCUCUCACCGCCCUCAUCCACGGCGAGAUAGGAGGUGCAGGGCAGCGAGAGAGAGAGUAGAGAGAGAGUGCAAAGGGUAAAUCGGCGACUUUGCAGGAGCUUCGGCGAAGGGAGGAGAAUUAGCGGUUGUAUUGACGGGUUUUGUGGUAGGGGUGGAAUCGGAGCCGGCGAUAACGAAACGCCUGCCCGUAACCGUUAGGCCGCCAGUAUGCUAACGGGCCUCGCUCCGUUUUUUUAUGAGGUCGGGUGGAAUUUGCCCCCCCCCCCCCCCCCCCCCCCCCCCCACCCCCCCCACAUUACCACUCCAUUCUAAAUUGAUCGAAACGGGUCUUAGGGAUGUCAAUAAAUAUGGAUAUUCAAAAUUUUAUUUGAACUCGAAUAUGAACGGAGCGGAUUUAUUUGAUGUUAAGUGGAUAUAAUUUUGGAUAAAGAUAUAAACAAACAAAAACUCGAGGGAUUUUGAUUCAGAUAUGGAUUUUGUCCUAACAAAAUCCGAAGCCUGACUCAUUCCUAAUCCAAAUUAAUAUUAUAUAUAAAUAUUUUAUGUUAUAUUUGAAUUUGUAUUUUAAUAAUAUUAUAUAUUUUGAAAUAUGGUAAAGAGAAAUAAUUUGGGUUCGGGUUCGAAUUCGGAUUUUCGGGCUUUUGGUCGGAUUCAGAUUUGGACAUAGAUUUUUAAAAUCCGUCGGAUUUGAAUUUAGGUUUGAGUUUCGAAUUUGAAUGUGUCCAAGCCUUGCCCAGAUUUAGCCUGAAAACCUAAUGCAUUAGUUACCAUUAAUUAUUAACCAAAUAUUUAGUUAUAUACAUUUAUCUAUGUAAGAAAUUACGAAUAUACCUAUAAUAUAUUAUAGAGAAAAUAUCUACUGUGCCUUUUAAAAUUUUAAAAAUUUUCUAUUUUGCCUUGAUUGACCAAAGUUUUUUUCUUUUUAUUACAAAAAUUUGUUCAAAUUUUAGCCUCACCGGAAUAGAAUUUUAAAAAAGCAUUCCAAAAAGAACAAUACUAUCCGUACACACCACAGUGAGUGUACAUAUUAUAUUUUUACCAAAAAUCAAUUAAAUUUUUGUGAUCCUUAGAAUGAAGGGUAUAAAAUCUACACCCUAUACAAGUACAAUAUUUCUUUAAGAAAAAGAAAAGUAAAUUUAAAAGUUUUGAAUGGUAAUAAACCGCAUAUAAGCAAAAACCCCUGUAUUAUAUACAUAGUAGUAUUUUAAAGCCCUAAAUAAUUUAAUUAGACAUUAUUUGUUCCUUGGACUUAAUUUUUCUAAAAGAAAUGGAUAAAAAAGGUUGACGCGAAGCCCAACAUUAUUUUUUGGACCGAUUUUGGGUAUAGUAUGACCAGACCCGAAUCCGGCGCAGUUCCAACCUUAUAAAUUAAGGCCCCGUUUGGUUGGGGGGAUAAGCGGGGAUAACGAAAGUUAUUCCCGCUAUUCCGCCAAACGGGGUGAAAUUUGGUCGGAAUAUUUUAUCCCGGUCAAACCUUGCUAUUCCCGGUUAUCCCGGAAUAGCAAGGGAUUUGCUAUUCCACCAUUUUGGUGGAAUAGCACUAUUCCAAUGCUUUAUUUCAAACUUAAUUAAAAUUAUAAAUUGAAUUAAAACUAAAUUAUAUAAAUAUAAUAUGUUAUAUAUUAUAUAUUAUAAUACAAUAUUUUUAUUAUAAAAUUAUUAAUUGUACUAUAUUAAUACAUAUUAUUUAUAUUUAAAUAUUAUAAUAAAAUUUAUAAUAAAUUAUAUUUAAAUAUUAUAAUAAAUUCUUUUUAUUAAAUUUAAAUUUAAGUAGAAUUUUUAAAAAAUUUAUAAAUUUAUUAUAAUAAAUUAUUUUUAUUAAUUGUUCCCACCACUAUUCUUAUUUUAAAAUUUUAAAAAUUAAAAAUUUAAAUUUUUAAAAUUUAUAAUUUAUAAUCUCAAAAUUAAAGUUUAAAAUUUAAAUUAUAAAUUUUAAAUUUUAAAUUUAAAUUUUGAUAUUUUAAAUUUUUGAAAUUUAAAAUUUGAUAUUUUAUAUUUUUUUAAAUUUAAAUAUGAUCUUAAAUUUAAAGUUUGAAAUUUAAAAUUUAAAAUUUUGAAUUUAAAAUUUGAGAUUUUAAAUUUCAAAAUUUGAAAUUUCAAAGUUAAAAUUUUAAAUUUAAAAAUAUAUAUUUAAAAUUUUAAAAAUUUAAAUUCAAAUAUAAUAAGAGGAUAAUAUGAUUAUUUUUUAUUUAUAAAACUCACUAUCUUUCUUAUUCCAUCUUACCUAACCAAACGUUAUUUUUUUUAUUCACAGGAAUAACCCAAUUUUCAUCCAAACGCAAAAUUGAUCUAAUCCUCGCUUAUAUCUCAAUUUAUACCUAUCCUUGGAAUAGCCACUUUUUCCUUAUUCUCGAACCAAACGAUACCUUAGAGAGACAAAAUUUUGGUUGGGAUAAUUUCCAAUGUGAGACAAAAUUUUAGUUUUUUUCGUUGUUUUUUGUUGAGUUGCAAUUUCAGUCUAAAAGCUUUUAAUGUACUUUUCAUAUUAUUAAAUUCAAUCAAAUAUGGUUAUAUCAUUCCGUUUUAGUUUACAUUUAUAUAUAUGUGUUUAUUUAAUCUGUAUAUUUUUGCUAAAAAAUUUCUAUUCAUUCGCAUCGUGAGGGUCCCUACACUGGUAUAUAUAAAGAUGAACAAAAAACUUUUAGUUGUGAUGGAAUCCUAAAUAGAAUCAUAUAUGUUUGAAAAAUAAAUUGGUUUAAAAAUACCUAUCAAAUCAAUGAUUGUUUAAAUUCAAAUAACAGAUCCAAAAUUAACUUUAAAUUUUGAGUAUCAUUCAUAAAUUUAAUCUAAAUUCAAACUUUAACUUAAUUAUGGAAUCAAUUUAAAUUUUUAAAUUUUGAGUAUUUGUUAAAAAACAAUGGUAUGUAAUGAACACAUAAAAAAUAUUUACGGCAUAACUAAAUUGGGAGCAUACGUAGAAACAAAACAAAUUUAAAAAAUAAAUCAAUUAGAAAUAGACUCAUGUCACCCAUAGCCAUUUUAAUUCAAAAUACAUAUUCAAAAUUUAUUUUAACUUUAAUUUUAUUUUAAAUUUAAUUUAAUUUAUAAUAUUAUCUGCAUCGCACAUGUAUUAUAACUAGUGUGUAUAUGUAUUGCGGUCCCAUGGCCCCCAUAAAUUAUAGACCAUUUAGAAAUAUGUUCUCAAAAUUUUGCAUUUUUGGCCUGAGCAANAGAGAGAGAGAGAGAGAGAGAGCAGGGCUGCUGUGCUCUCAGGAGCACGAAGGCCUUCGUGCUCCUGAGUCGUUUUCGAUGAUGGAAUUUUCGAAUCGACGAUCAGCUCCGUUAGACUUGAUCUAGUGCAUUUGAAGUUUCUAGAAAAUAAUUUUUGCGAUUUUUUGAUAUCAUUUACCUAGUGAUCGAAAGGAUUCAAAAUUCAUAAUUUUUAAUGGUUGAUAUCUGCCGUUUUCAAGUUUAACGGUGUAGAAUUAUUCAAAUUAGAUGAAAUUUUGAUACAAAAUUUUUUAUACUAUCUAUAAUAAAAUCAAUAUUUAUGAUCGAAAAUUUUAGUGCUAUAUAACUACUUUUUUUAGGAUUUUUAUUUUCAGCCGUUAAAAAUUAUUGAUUUUGAUCCUUUUGAUUGCUAGGUAAAUGAUAUCGAAAAAUCGCAAAAAUUAUUUUCUAGAAACUUCAAAUAUGCUAGAUCAAGUUUAACGGAGCCGAUCGUCGAUUUGGAAACUCCAUCAUCGAAAACGGCUCAGGAGCACGGAGGCCUCCGUGCUCCUAAGAGCACCGCAGCCCUGCUCUAUAUAUAUAUUUAAGAAAUUAUAUAUUCGUAUUCGUAUUUUUUACGAAAUUAUAUUUUCUUAAAAAAUACGAUUGUAUUAUUUAAGAAAUUAUAUUCGUAUUCGUAUUUUUUUUAUUUUUUGAAUGGGAAUUCAUAUACGAAUAUGUGUGAAAUACUAAAUUUUUAAAAUUCAGCUUUCAGUUUCAGUUUGGUUUAAUUAAACAUAUUUUUUUAACUAAAUUGAACUGAAAAACCUAAUAGUAAUAUUUUUUACACUUUCUAUCGUAACUAGUUAUUGAAAUUUUAUAUUUGUAAUAAAAUCUUGAUUGUAUAUUAAUACAUUUUUCAAAAUUUUACACAUCCAUAAUUAAUUUUUUUAUACGUUUAUAAUUAAUUUUAUACGGUUAUAAUCUCAUAUGAUUUAAUUUUGAAUCUUAAAUUAUAAUUAGUUCGCAAAAAAAAUAGAAAAUCUAAGAAUUAAUUGCAAAAUCGAACCAAGCAAACUCAAAGCAAAUCAAAUUAAUUAUUCAGUUUUGAUUUGGAUCAGUUCUGAAUAUAUAAAUCGAUUUGAUUUAGUUUUAAAUUUUUUUAACCAAAAAAUUUAGCUUGGUUUCUCUUUCUUAAUAGCCGAGUUAAACUUACUUUUAUUUUUGGAUAAAAUUAUUAUUCUCUCUUUAAAUAGUAGAAAAAUACUACGUGUACUCGUCUUUGGGAAUAUAUUGUAUCCCUCACUCAUUCUGGGAGAAGAAUCUUUUCACUAGUCAUAUUGAUGUAGCUAGUAAAUACACCUUUCAUCCUAAUAUGGAUAUUUUUGGGUGUAUACAUAGUGUUGCUCUAUAAAGUAUAUUUAAUAACAUUGACCGUACUUCGUGCAUUGGCUCGAGGCGUAGGCUUUGUUUGGGAUUGCAGGGAGAUUGCGUUACGUGCGGCGAGAAAGUAUGUUGGAAAAAUAUUCUGUUUAUUUCCGUACGUAAUAUUCUGUUCCGCAUAUCGCGAUGAGUCCGUUACGAUAUAUUUUUUGCUGUCCCACCGGAGAACGCAGAAAUAUAUUCCUAUAUGCUUUUUCUUGAACACCAUUUUAUCUAAUAGUGUUAGAUAGACCUCAAUACCAAACUAAGCCUUAAUAGUUGGAGACAACUUCAGCGGGAAGCUCCCUAAGGAUGCCUUAUUGCCUUAUUGGGAAGCUCAGAUUCGCUGUCACAUGUUAAUUUCAUCUCUAUCUAAAAAUUUGUUGGAUAUUUUCUUUAUUGCAAAAAUUCAAAAAAUAAAAUAUAAAAAAUUUUAAUAGUAGAGAAAACUGAUUAUAACUUUAGAUUAGAGACAAAACUGAUAUGCGACAGCAAAUCAAUAGCUCCUCAACAAUGCAUCAUUGGGAAGCUCACCAUUGAUUAUUUAUUUAUUUAUUUAUUUAUGAUUGGUAUAUAAAGUUCUAAGUUUGAAGUCUAACUGUUUUAUAUUUUUAGCUGAUUAUAUUUAAAAAAUAAAAAAAUAGUUUGUUAUCUUCUUCUCUUAAAAAAUGAAAAAGUUAGCAUACCGAGGCAAAUUUACCUAAAGUUAAAUUCUGUAGUGAAUUAUUAGGAACAACCAUUAUCUUUGUUAAAUUAUUAUUUUAUUUUUUCAAAUAUAUCUUUUACUAUCAUUAAUUUUUCUCAUUUGUCUUUGAAGCUAGUGGCAUAAAAAGUAUUUUGAAUUUUUAUCUUUUCUAAUAUUCCCUUCUACUGUUAUCAACUUUUUUUAUUUGUCCUUUAGUUAGGGACAAAGAAGGUAUUUUGACUUCUGUAUAACUCUGAUAGAAAUUUAAUUCGGUUUUAACCCAUGAUGACCUAAAGAUUACUAAUUAUGGGGUUAUUUUUGUGUAACGGAGAGAUAUACGGGGGUAUAUUUGAAAUAUAAAAAGUAAAAAUAUAUAAGAUAUUUUAAAAGUUUCGAAUGAUAUAUAAGUAAUUAUCCUAAUUUAUAAUUUUAGAACUUUGCAUGGACACAUAUAAUUAAAUGCAAUGUCCCGAAUCAUCUUACCAAAAUAUUAAAUUUUAGUUGACCAGAAGAAGUGAGUGGAAAAUGGAAAUAUAUAUAAUAUAAUAUUCCAUUUAAUAAUUUUGGAUAUUCUUUUGCACCUACUUUAUUCUUCAAUAAUAAUAAAAUAAAUUCCCAACGUGUCAAACAUGCUCUUACAGUUGGUCAAAGGUUUGCAUGAGAAUUUUUUCUUAAAAAAAAAGAAAAAAAUAAAAUAAUUCAAUUAAUAAGAACUUAAUCUUUUUUUUUUUUUAAUUAACACCCGGUAGAGUUUAGUUUGUGGUAUUUCUGUGAUUCUAAUCAUCUAAAAUAAUAAUUCAAUUAAAUUAAACAAGCUUUGGUUUAUAUGUAAAAAAAAUAACUGGAUUAUUAAAUUUGAAAAACAUUUAAUUUAUUUAACUAAGAUUAUUUAAUUUAGAAAAGACAAAAGCUAGAAACAUAUUAAUAAAAAAAAAAAGAUAAACUUCCAACACCCCUCUAUAAUUCACCACAUUGAUUUGUCACCCUAUCUAUUUAUAUAUCUGUAGAAUAUCAUGAAUUGAGAGUUCAAUUGAGAGUUCUUAAUCCACAUGUCACUAUAUCGACGGAAUGGGCUGGGUGGGGUGGGAAGCAGGGCGGGCGCGGGGGUGGGAGUUUUUUUUUUUUUCUUUAUUUUUCUACCAUUUCUCUUUUUCUCUACUAAUUUAGAGAUAGAUUGAAUUUUUUUAUAUAACUCAUUAUAAUUUUUUAUUUUUAUUAUAAUAUUUUUUUUUCAUUAUAAAAAUUUAAAAUAAACCUUCGGGAGGGAUAAUAUGAAUGAAAUACUAGAGUUUAAAAUAUUAGAUAUUUAUUUUAAAAGUUUGGGAGUACAGUAAAACUCCGCUAAGAGCUCAAGAAAUAAUAGUGCAAUUUACCCAUAUUUUAGUCCUCGGCAGUUACUGCUCCUAUAAAUAUAAUUUAUUUUUUUUAUUUUUUUUAUAUUCUUCUUAUAUUUUUAUUCUUAUACUUUUACUGCAAUAGCUGCUGCUUCUUCUUCAGUUUCUCUUAUUUUUUUUUUAUUUUUGACUCUUCUUUUUUUAUUAUUUUUUUAAAUUUUAUUUAUUUAUUAUUUUUGCGAUAUCGACCCGCUACAAUGCGCAAGUUCCUUCACUAGUGGUUCUAAAUGUUUUGAUUUUGCUAUAUUAUAAUUUUGUCUUUAUUUUAUUGUACGGACCUGGUGUUAAAAAAAAAUACUAAAUAAAAUAUUGUACAAGUCCUAGGAUAGAUGGCAGCCUACAAAUUAUAUGCUACUAAUUUACUACUUUAUUUUGACAUUUGUGAUUUGUAAAUAUAUUACUUUACUAUAAGUUUGUCACGAUACAGCACAGAAGCUAAAUCGCGCGUGCGCACAGAGUCACCGUAUUGAUAGAAUCUUCUUUGUAUGUCAAAAGUGUUUAGAGUACAAAUCACCUAUCAGUUUUCACAUUUAGAAAGCAAACAACCCAUAAAUGUAAACUUUUUUUGAUGCCCUAACUUCCCAGCGGGUCAGCCAUCUUAGAACUACUCCCGUCCUAGCACGCUUAACUCUUUCAACAUCUUUGAAGCCACCACCCAAAAUAUUUAAGUCAGGUUAAGAGUAUUAACCCUAUUAUAUCAUAUAUAUAGGACUAUAUGGGGUCUCACAUUAUUCCCCUAUUAUAUCAUAUAUAUAGGACUAUAUGGGGUCUCACAUAAGUCCCCCCUUGUAGCCCUUAUGUCCUCGUUAGGCUUAGAUGCACAAGUAUCAGGUGAUGUAAGACUCGUCUUGCUAGCCUUAACCGACAUUGUGGUAAGAUGCGUUCCACGCACAACAGUCAACAGCAUGAGAGUCUCGCUCUCCCCGCUGUAUAAUUCUGGCUCAGCCGAGACUCAGCUCACGCUUCCGACUAGUAAUUGGCUCUGAUACCAACAGUGACGCCCUAACUUCUCAGGGGUCAUUCAUCCUAGGAUUACUCCCGUUCUAGCACGCUUAACUCUCUUAACCUCUUAAAUCUAGCUACCGCACAAAAUACUUAAGCCGGAUUAAAAGUUUUAAACUUAUUAUAUUAUAUAUAUAAGACUACCUAGGUUCUCACAACUUUUAAAACAAUAUCGAUCGAAAGUGUUUACAAAAACCAUCCAAGUUUUCAAAAUGACAAAUCCUUCUAUCACAAAUUUCUUGUCAAAAUAGAAUAGUGUUGUGUUUCCAAACUACACGAGUUCCAAAUAUAACUUCCAACUAAUAGGGUUUAUUUACAACAUUCUUUUUUUCAAAAUAAAACCAAAGGUGUAGCUAUGUGAGUGAGGAACUAUCGAAUGCAUGGUCCUUACAAAGCGCCUCACUCCGCCAUGUUCGAUAUACGUACCUAAAAAAACGAGAGGGUGAGAAACUAUAAAAAGUUUUCUAAUAGGUACGGCAAGCCAACAAGAGUAAGCUUGCAUGGAUUGAACAAUAUGAUAACAACAUCAAGAUUAACUGAGAGGUACAACAUGUAAGGAUAUGAAUAACUAUAUAUGCAAUUAUCAUCAACUGACGAUAUCCAAUAGAUGUCAUUUAUGAAUCGUCAUACAAAGGUACGAACUAUGUAUGGCUAUUACCAAGCAACUAUAUCCAAGUAGAUGGCAACUAAGAGUAGUUAUGCAUCAAUGCUACAUACCAAAUAGGUGAUCCUGCUGACCUGUGCUAGAGCCGAAUUGUAGCUGCUACGACUCAAUGUUGAAUUGUGGCAUAACGGCCGAAUCGAGACCAAAUGUCACCAAAUCGCGUGCACUCUUCUAGAAGAGCUUUUCCUACCACAAUUGAUUAGACAACUAUGUUGGCGGUAGGAGAGCAAGUAACAUGGAAAAUCUUUAUAAUGAUGAUCAAUGUCAACUGUAACAAUAAAGGAAAGAGUAUGCCCAACAUGUCUCAACUGUGUCGACCCACAACAACAAAAGGCCAUUCUGGUCAAUUAUAAGUAUUAUUGCUACUACUAGUCUCUAUGUCAUCAUCUAUGUGAUAUGGUUCAAUUAGAAUUCUUUGUAGAUGGCGAUUGAAUACAAUAACAAGUAUAUAAGAAAAGUAUGCAACUACUAAUGUCUAUUAUGAAGAAUAAGUAAUACAAUAUCUAAGUUAUCGUGAAUAAAGAUGUGUGAGCUCCUCUACUAUGUGAAUCCCAUGAAUAAACGAAUAAUCAAAGAGGGGGUGAAGAAGAUAGAAUCGAGUCACUAGGGGUUUCGCUAAACCUAUUUCGUAUUGAAGCACCUACCUAUGCAUAGUACCAUGAGUCCUUAAUCCAACCACGAUCCACUAGGUGCCACCCGGGCUCCUAUUCACUAGUUAAAGAAGUGACCAUUAAGGACAUAAAUAGAACCUAUACGUCACAAUCAACCCGUACAAAUAUUAUGACCAAUAUAUUAAGUUGGAACAUUAUUUUUGCCAACCGAUGCUUGAAACUGAUACAUCAGUUACCAAACUAUUGACUUAUCAUCAAUUCAGACCUAUAAAGUUUCGAACUUGCCAUUGGAGGUGUCAGAACAAGGAUCUUGAGUUAGUGCUUGACUAUGAAAGAGUUAGGCCAUCACGCUCGUUUGUGUCAAAACCGAUAACACAAGUUGUGCACCGCCGAAACACGUGAAACAACACCAAACAGCAUGUUUGAAACAUUUACAAUACAAUUGGAAUAUGACACGACCAUUUACAAGGUGUUCAACAUGUUUAUUCCACUAAUCGAUUUCCAAAUUGACUCCGAACAUAGUCCCACUCAUCAAACCGUCACUUUAGCCCCUUGGGUCCUGAGACCCAAUUUUUGGCGUCGAGAUAGGAACUGUAACAUAGCAAAUUCUUCGUAGGCAAGAGAAAUGCUGAAAGUUUUGCAAAGCUUCAACGAUAAUAAAGUUUCUUUCCAAAUAAAGCUUUGGAUUACUAUAUUUACACUACAUCAAAAAAAAGUUUGCAAAAAAAAUUUCAUAAAAAUCAUAGGCAUCUAUACAUUCUUUGCAGGAUAUCAAUAUUUUGAAGCAUUUACAACAAAAGGAAAUGGGAUUACAUACAAAACAAUAAAGUAGCAGAGGUGUACUACUUUUUACGAGCCCUAUUUACCAAAAAACAAAAGACUUGAAAAAUAUAUCACACACAUCUCUAGUCAGGAGUCCCUAGGAGAUCUGUGGUGAGAAAAUAGUGUGCCCUAUCUACCAAGGGUGGUCGACUCUGACUAGAGACAAUAUACGGCAGAUACAGAUAGUCUUUCUUCGCAGGACAUCAAUAACUUAGGAGCAUUUACAACAAAAAGAGAUGGGCCUAUACACAAAACAACAGAGUAGCACACGAGCACUAUUUUUUACAAGCCCUAUUUACCAAAAACCAAAAGCCUUACUUGAAAAUAUGUCACACAUACCUCUAAUGUAGGAGUCCUUCCUUAAUCUUGAUGUUUCUCCACUUAUAUUUAAAAUCGCCAUACUACUUUUGUGAAAAACACCACAAACAUACUCCAAAAUUGCCCUCUAUGGAAUAUUCCCACCAUCCUUCGAAACAAAUCUCUGCAUCCCCUCCUGCAAUAAUAAGAUAACACCCCAGUGUGAUUUUAAAUGCUAAACUAUACAUCAUUCAUUAAAGAGUCUUAUCAGUCUCAUAGCUUUUCUUUUUCCUUUUUUCUUUUCGUAAGCACAAAUUCUAUGCGGUUAGAUAGUGACUCACCAUACUAUAUCACAUAGAAUUUGUAUUUGAAAAAAAAAGGAAAAGAAAAAUGACAGUAGGCACCAAAUAUAGCAUGGAGUUUGUGUUUAAAAAAUAAAAAAUAGCAACAGGUAUCAAAAAAGACCUAUUUUUGCCCUACGAAAAGGGAGAAAGAAUAAGAGACAAGGAAAAAGGAGAAAGGCAAUUCAAAAGAUACAUCAUUACAAGCAACACAAGAAGCAUAAUUUUCAAACAGACAGCCACUCAAUUAAUGCUCGAUUAUGAGGACCAUGGCUAUGAUGCUCGGCCACAUAAGGCUUAGAACCGCACCCAUUUGUGCUCAGAAUCGGAACACAAAUCGAAUACAUAGACCAAAAACAUGGCUACCUAAAUAGCUCCACUACAAAGAAAGGUCGCAUGAUGGCUCGGCCAUUGAGGUUGUGGCCAAUAUGGCAUGACCAUUGAGGCUGCUAAAGUAUGCGGCCACGCCAAGAGCUUGGCCACCAUAGACAACCACAAAGAGGAGCCGCAAGGAUCGACCUUGGGAGGCACGACCAUAUCGGCUGGGAUUGACAUGGAUCGGCCCUAGUCCGGUGCUCCGACGACACCUUGAUAUAGAACGACCCCUGACUGAACCCAGUGUGCGAUAAUAAUAGAACAAACUUAGGCUUCAAGAACUUACCCUCAAAUUUUUCCUCCGAUGACGAUUUGUUGGCUGUAGGGAGCGAAGAAAGUGGCCGAAGAGAGGAAGAAGGCUACAGCUUAGAGUGAGAAGGCAACAAUGGCCUCAAGAGGUGAGGGAAGGCGCAUGCACUAUUAGGAGAACAAGAAAGUAUACAUGACUAUUACGUACCUGACUCUACGCAACCCGUCGAUGAUGAUAAUUCGCUGAGACGAGGAUGGCGUCGAGGAUGAUGGUCUUAACAGAUCAACAUCACAAUGCUUUACCUUAUCCAAACAUGCAUGACAGAUCAAAGAAUAAGAAUGAGAAGAUGAGAUUGAGAAAAGAGAGAGAAGGAUAGAGAGAAUAGAAGGGGAUAUUGAAUCAGAGAAGAGGAGAAGGAAGAAGAUGAGAAUAAUGGGAGAUAACAAUUUCCAUAAUAAUCUGUGAGUUUAGUUACAAUCUGCCUAUUUAUUCCCUUAUACGAUGGACUAAAUUGCAAUUUGCUAAACUGAAUAGUACUAAAAUGAGAAUUGAAAUACAAGAAGGGCUCUAAUUCCGCGUGGGCUGACUUCGAUGGAAUAUGGGCUAAUGUGGCUGGUUCGUUCCAAGAACGCUUGUUACUUGGGUAAUCUGUCAUUGGUUCACUCUUCUCGGCCCAACCCGGAGUCGGCCCGCCCGAUCCACUUGUAUGCGAACAAGCGGGCGCCGGAUCGUCCAUCUCCGCACUAUCCACAGUCUGGCGGUUCUUGGGUUCGCCUUUUCCUCCGCUUCGAAAAUUUGGGACUCCGACCCGAAGCCUAACCCUACUUCGAGCUUCCACUUCCUCCAUUCGCUCCACUUCCUUCACCGCUCCUUGUUUACUCCGCUCGUCGACGAAGCUGAUCACCAUGACCGAUCUCUUCUCCCAGAUUCGAAGCUUCACAAGGAAAAUCUAAGCUCUCCUCUUUCCUCUUCUCUUAUUGACUCUCUUGGUGACUCUGCUCCUACUUCUACCUCUAAUGUUAUUCCUUUUAUUUGUGCAGAUGUAACACUCCCCCUCUCUUAAGCUAAUCCUUGUCCUCAAGGAUCGAAAGAAGGAAAUUGGCUCUUGAGGACUCCGUAAUCCUCCCAAGUCGCGUGCUCUUCGGGAAGAUUCAUCCACUUAACUCGCACUUCUGUCGCAGCUCGGUUACCCCGUUUAACCAUUCUCUUUUCCAAAAUCUUUUCAGGUUCUGUCAGUAAUUCCUCAUUCUCAUCCAAAAUAGGUACGCUCGGAGAAGCUUGGGUUGCUGCUGGAGGGCUUUUCUUUAAGAGUGAUACAUGAAAUACCGGAUGCACCCUCGACCCUUCAGGUAGCUGUAAUUUGUAAGCAACUGGUUCGAUGCACUCUAAAAUUUGGAAAGGUCCGUAAAAUUUUGCAGUAAGCUUUAUGUUCUUCCUUAUAGCCACCGUGAUUUGCCUAUAUGGCUGUAACUUGAGGUACACCCAAUCUCCCACUUCAUAUUCCUUCUCUUUCCUGUGUUGAUCUACCUGUUGCUUCAUCCUACUUUGAGCUAAUUGUAAAUGACCCCGCAACUCGUGAGUAGAUUUUUCCUUCCUUCAGCUCACUCCUUAAUUGCCGGAGAAUUAGCCGAGUCCAAUGCAGUCGUCAGAUAGUUCGGAGGGGGGUAUCCAUAUAACGCUUCAUAUGGGGUCAUACCUAUUGAAGAGUGAAAAUUGAUUUUGUACCACCAUUCUGCUAGGGCUAGCCAGGAAUGCCAUUUCUUUGGAUGCUAGAAACACAAACAUCGUAAAUAUGUUUCGAGGCAUUUGUUAACUCUUUCAGUUUAACCGUCAGUUUCCGGAUGAUAAGCUGAACUCAUAAGUAACUUAGUUCCCAUAGAUUGGAAGAGCUCUUUCUAGAAUUGACUGAUAAAUAUCUUAUCUUGAUUUGAAACUAUACUCUUUGGGCACCCAUGCAGUUUACAAAUUGUUUUCAUAAAUACCUUCGCUACUUCAGGGGCUGAAAAAGGGUGUUUUAACAACAUAAAAUGAGCGUAUUUCGUAAGUCUAUCUACCAUAACCAUAAUUGUAUCCCGUCUUUCGAACCUCGGUAGUGAUUCAAUAAAAUCCAUAUUCACAUCCUCCCAAACUUGGUGUGGUAUAGGUAAAGGCUGCAGCAAGCCUGCGUAGGGCGUUCCAUCCACCUUGUUCUGAGCACAUAUGGUACAUCCUUUUACCCACUCCUCCAUUUCUCUCUUUAACCCCUGCCAGUAGAAAUAUUGUUUGACUCUUCGGUAAGUGUUCUGUAUCCCAGAAUGACCUCCCAAAGCGGAGUUAUGCAUCUGGUCGAGAAUUCUUUUCCUUAGUGGUCCUGUUCCCCCAAUGUACAGUUUCCCAUUAUAUCGCAGUAGCUCAUGGCUAUAUGAGUAACCCUCAUGGAGGUCUGACUGUAAUGCUAACUCACCUAUCAUUUUCUCGCAAUGGGGAUCCCCUUUAUAGCUCUCCGACACCUCUCGAACCCACGUUGGUAUAGCUGCUGUUAUAGCUAGCGUACUGCCCUCUUCUCUAACUAUCCUUGAUAAUGCAUCUCUUUUUAUACUGAAUUGUGUAGUUAAGGCCCAUUAACUUCAUCAUACCCUUUUGUUGCAUUGGAGUCAAUAUUCGUUGUUCCAAAAGAUGUUUUAAACUUUCAUGAUCCAUCUUGAUUAUGAAGGUGCUCAUGCUUAAGUAAUGUUUCCAUUUUUGCACGGCCAUAAGUAUAGCUAGAAAUUCCUUUUCAUACGUUGACAACCCACUAUGUUUCCCCCCGAUCGCCUUACUUAAGUAAGCGAUUAGUUUCCCUUCUUGGGACAUUACAGCUCCGAUUUCCGUGUCACAUGCAUCAACCUCUAUGGUAAAAAGUAGAUCAAAGUUGGGCAUAGCUAACACCGGAGCCUUAGUCAUGGCUGUCUUCAACCCUUCAAAUGCUAGUUGGGCGUCGUCGUUCCACCAGAAUUGAUCCUUUUUUAGUUGUUCAGUCAAGGGCUUACUAAGCUGUCCAUAUCCUUUAAUAAAUUUUCGGUAGUAACCCGUUAGUCCUAAAAAUUCUCGAAGCUCCUUAACAGAUUUGGGUGCUGGCCACUGGACCAUAGCUUCAAUUUUGGUUGGAUCUGUGGCGACUCCCUUGGCGGAAAUAAUAUGGCCCAAAUACUCCACCUUGUCUUGCCCAAAACAGUACUUACUCCUCUUUGCAUAUAACUGAUUUUUUCGCAAUUCCUCUAAUGUAAGUUGUAAGUGUUUCACAUGAUCCUCCAAACCUUUACUAUAGAUCAAAAUGUCAUAAAAAAAUACCAACAAAAAAUUUCGUAAGUAAGGUUCGAACGUACAGUUCAUGAUAGCUUGGAAGGUGGCAGGUGCGUUGGUGAGGCCAAAUGGCAUAACCUUAAACUUAUAAUGCCCUUGGUGAGUUUGGAACGCUGUUUUCAGGAUAUCAGCUGGAUCCAUUCUGAUUUGAUGAUAACCAGAUCGUAGGACUAUCUUGGAGAAGUAUUUCGAGGCUCCCAAUUCGUCUAAUAAGUCAUCGAUGAUGGGUAUAGGGAACUUGUCCUUGACGGUAGUUUUAUUAAGCUGCCGGUAGUCAAUGCAAAUCCUCCAACUUCCGUCUUUCUUCUUUACCAACAAGGCCGAUGAGGCGAAUGGGCUGUUGCUACGUUGUAUUAUGGAGUUGUUCAAUAGCUCUCUUAUCUGCCUUUCGAUCUCUUCCUUUUGUUCAUAUGAGUAUCUAUAUGGCCUAACAUUAAUUGGAGUGGUGUGAGAUUAUAACAGGAUUUUGUGAUCUUGGCUGUGAGGUGGUGGUAACCCUGUCGGCUCCUCAAAGAUAUCUAGAUAUUGGUCUAACACUUGCUGGAUGCAAGGGUGAAUGCUUGCUUCUGGCCUGGAUUGUUCGGGUAUCAUUUGAUGACUUAAAAAGUAGCAUUCUUCUGUCUCCAUCUCCUGACUCCUGCUACAGUAAUGAGUUUUAGCUUCGCUCCUUCUUCAAUUCCUUUCAACUCUAGCACCUGUCCCUCUUUGGUAAUGGUGACUGAAUUAGAUAAGAAGUCGAAGGUUACCUUCCCGUAGGAUUUGAGCCAAUCAAUACCUAACACGAUGCUUGAACCCUCCAACCUGAUAACUCUUAAAUCAGCCGAAAAUGCAUGACCGUGCAUGGUCCAAGAGAACUCUGGACAUUGAAGCUUACUUAGCACUUUAUGCCCAUUCGCAACUGUCACUACCAAGGGUGCGGCUGUCAUCAUUUUUGCUCUCACAUCCUUAGCCACUUGCAGGUCAAUGAAGCUAUGUGUGCUCCCAGUGUCUAUUAGGAUAGUAGUGGGUCUACUUUUUGCUUCGCGCUUUAUCUUGAUAGUAUCUUGAGGCUUCUCUCCGCUUAAGGCAUGAACUGAAACUCCAAUUUCCUGCAGCUCCCCUACCUCAGGAAUUAUUUCUGCUUCUUGUUCUUCUCUUGAAUCUACUCCUUUAUCCGAUUCUUCGUGUAGGCAGCGUUCAUCAUAAAUUUUCGCGACUUCAUCCAUAGUCUGCAUGGUAUGUAGGGUUCUAUUGGCACAAACAUGCCCCAGAUGGUACUUAUCUCCACAUCGAAAACACAAUCCAGCAACUCUCCUCUGAUCCAUCAGCUGCUUGUUAAUCGGGGUUUGGUUCGUAGGAUUCUUUUGUAAGGCCGAGUACUGAGGUUUGGUACCGUCAUUGGGUUUGCUGGCAGUGUUCCUAUACAAGGAAUUUGAUUGAUAUUGUACUCCUGAUGUCUUAGGAUUGUAUUUGUUCCUUCGAUUAAGGGCAACAAGGGCCUUUUCAUGUAGUUGAGCUUGCUCGUAUGUUUCUUCCAAUGAACACGGUGCGCGAUGUCUAGGAAUGGAAUUAAUCCCUCCUUUAAGCCAUUAAUGUAGCAUGCGAUAAAGUACUCUACGGUCAGGUGUGGAUUGUAAUAGAGUAGUUGGAAUCUCAAUUCCUCAAACCUUUCUUGGUACGUUUCACAUUCCCCUGUGUGCCUUAAAUUACAAAACUCCCGCACUACAACAAAAACGGUCUAUAGCGAUACUUUUAAAUGUAGGUACAUGUCAAAAAAGUGCUACUAGCUAAAAUUACCGACACUUUUAAAAAGUGUUGCUAUAUGUGGGGUCGCUAGGUAUAUAGUGACAGUUAAAGAGUGUCGCUAUAACCUAAAAGAGUGCUGCUAAUUUACCAACACUUAUUUAAGCAUUUAAAAACCGUCGAAACUCUAUCUCGUUGGCUGCGGUGGCGGAGGAGGACGACAGGAAAGGUUUUUGUCUAGAAUUUCAGUGGAUUGAGUGAAGAAAGAAGAAAAGAUAGUAAUUGAUUUUUCUUUUUUUUUCUUUUCUGUUUGUAAUCGAGCCAAAUGGACUGGAUGUGGUGGGUUGAGUAGAGUAAUCUUUUAUUUUUGGUUGGAUUGGGCUUUAUAUUUAGGCAUUAGUAGAUAUUUUUUUAAGUUUUAGCAUAAAUGGGACACUUACUCAAAAGUGUCCCAAACAUGUGUCCCUAUAACCUAAUUCUGUUGUAGUGCCGGAUUAAGUAUCUCUCGCCCAUUUGUGAAAAUCUUCUACAUACGGCCUCGGUAAACUCGUCCCACGAAAUGAGUUGUUUGUUAAUGAAAUACCCUUGUUUCCAUGUCCUUGCCUUACCAAUCAAAUGCAUAGUUGCCACACUUAACCACUGAUGCUGAGGUAUUUGAUAUAACUCAAAGUAUUGCUCGCAAUUUUCAAUCCAACUUCGAGGGUCUUCACCGUAAAAAAAGAGAAAAAUCCAGUUUCGGGUAAGGUAAUUGAUGAUGGUUAUGCUUGUUGAUCCAUGGUGAGUUAUGAUUCUCCUCAUCUUUUGUUUGUCUCAUUAGCGUUGGUAGAAUUCCUUUGCCUUUAUCCGCUCUGAUCGUUAUUGGCGUUCUACUGUUCCCAGGGUUACCGCAUUGUGGAAAUUUACCUUCAAGAGGGUUUGCCAUGUCUUGGCUCUUGAGUGGAGGUGGCUGAGCUGCUAACAGCUUGAGCAGCUCCUCAUGCCGUUUGGUUGCUUCAAUCUGUAAUGCUUCAUAUUGCCUCUGCCCGGUCUCUUUUACUUCAGCAAUCUGAUGGUUGAGUACUGCUAUCUCUACUUGAUGCUCGAUUUCCAAUUUUUGGAACUUCUCUUCUAAUGUACGAAUGUGAUCACUAAGAUCUCUCAAUCUAGUUCCCUCGGCCAUUUCUAUCUCUUCUAAAUAUUCCUUUGGAUUAAAUUUAAACUUAUUGCCUCGUUUGCCCCCAAUCUUGACGCUCAGAAAAAUAUACUUUUUCACGAGAACUGAACCUCAGUUUGAAUGACCAGUUGACCUGUUGUUUGCUUAAGAUCUGAAGAUGAUUGAGUGUAUUCUGAGCAUGAUUCGAUUCAGGGUUGUUACUGUGGUGAUUUCUUUUGUCCAAACCCAAUCUCGAAACAGGUUUGGCAGCGCAGAAAUCUACUCGCGAUUAAACUCGACAAUGCUCGAUUGGAGUUAGGAAGCGAUUUCACCACACAACGCCCUGGGAUCGGACCGCUCUGAUACAAAUUGUUAUGUACCUGACUCUACGCAACCCGUCGAUGAUGAUAAUUCGCUGAGACGAGGAUGGCGUCGAGGAUGAUGGUCUUAACAGAUCAACAUCACAAUGCUUUACCUUAUCCAAACAUGCAUGACGGAUCAAAGAAUAAGAAUGAGAAGAUGAGAUUUAGAAAAGAGAGAGAAGGAUAGAGAGAAUAGAAAGGGAUAUUGAAGCAGAGAAGAGGAGAAGAAAGAAGAUGAGAAUAAAGGGAGAUAACAAUUUCCAUAAUAAUCUGUGAGUUCAGUUACAAUCUGCCUAUUUAUUCCCUUAUGCGAUGGACUAAAUUGUAAUUUGCUAAAUUGAAUAGUACUAAAAUGAGAAUUGAAAUACAAGAAGGUCUUUGAUUCCGCGUGGGCCAACUUCGAUGGAAUAUGGGGCAAUGUGGCUGGUUCGUUCCAAGAACGCUUGCUACUUGGCAAUCGGUCAUUGGUUCACUCUUCUCGGCCCAACCUGCGAGUCAGCCCGCCCGAUCCACCUGUAUGCGGGCAAGCAGGCGCCGGAUCGUCCAUCUCCGCACUAUCCACAGUCCGGCGGUUCUUGGGUUCACCUUUUCCUCUACUCCGAAAAUUUGGGACUCCGACCCGAAGCCUAACCCUGCUUCGAGCUUCCAUUUCCUCCAGUCGCUCCACUUCCUUCAUCGCUCUUUGUUUACUCCGCUCGUCGACGAAGCUGAUCACCAUGACCGAUCUCUCCUCCCAAAUCCAAAGCUUCACAAGGAAAAGCUAAGCUCUCCUCUUUCCUCUUCUCUUAUUGACUCUCUUACUGACUUUGCUCCUACUUCUACCUCUAAUGUUAUUCCUUUUAUUUGUGCAGAUGUAAUAAUGACCAAGAUGGCCACUGACCAAAAAGGUGGUCGCACGACUAUAGAUAGCAGCAUUAAUUAGUGGAUUGAGAGAGUGAGUAAUUAAGAUUGGGAAAAGAAGAAGCUCUAGAAGUCGGAGUUGACAGCGACAGCCGAGAGUGAAAGAAAGAGAGAGAGAGAGAAAGAGAAAGGGGAAACCCUAGAAUUCAUAUUUUCCUAUCACACUUGUGCUCCUACACUAGAGAGAGAACCCUAGGGUUCAAUUUGCUUAUCGCACCUAAGCCCUUGUACUUUUUUAUUUUCUCAAUCUCAGCCUUUUUCCAUACUAAUUUCUGAAAAAAUUACACGUAAGUCCCUUAAAUGUGUAGAAUUUAUCUCUCUCAGAUAAAAUGUAGCAAUUUUGUACAUAAGUCUUCAUAAUUUUAAAAUUAAAACCUUGGUUAUUACAUCAAUACCCCCUUCAAAGAAAGUUUCGUCCUCGAAACUUGAUUACAUUUAAACUAAAUCCAAAAAUAUGUUUGGAUAUUGCUCCCGCAUCAUAGACUCUAGCUCCUAAGUAGCUUUGCACUCCUCAUGAUUCUUCCCUUGCAACGAAAUACUACAAUUUUGUAUUUGCCUCUCUUGGCAUGCCAAAAUCCUCAUCGGGGUCUCUUCAUAGGUCAAAGGUAGCUUUGUGAACCUCAAUCCUGUUAAUUACAUAUGUCGCGAAAUGUUUCUCUAGAGCAUCAAAAUAUGGAAGGCGUUGUGAACACACUCCAAACUUAGGGAAAGUGCAUGCUAGUAUGCCAUUCGGCCAAUCCUCUCCAAGAGCUCAAAUGAUCCAAUAUACUGUGAGCUCAAAUGAUCCAGUAUGCCAUUAGGCCAAGCCUCUCCAAGAACUCAAAUGAUCCAAUAUAUUGUGUGCUCAACUUGCCUUUGAGCGCAAACCUUUUGAUAUCCUUGGAUAGCGGUACCUUAAGAAACUUAUGGUCACCUACUUGAAACUCUAAAUCACAGUGCUGCUGGUCGACAUAACUCUUCUAUUAGUUCUAGGGAAUCAAGAGUUACUGUCAUGCAAUCCUGAUCUUUUGCUCAGUGUCCUUAACCAAUUCCUGCACGAGAAUCAUCCUUUCACCCACGCCGUCCCAACAUAUAGGCUAUUGGCACUUCUGUCCAUGCAAGGCCUCAUAGGCACCAUCCUUAGUUGGAUUGAAAGUUUUUAUUGUAAGCAAACUUCAUGAGCGCCAAGUACUUAUACCACCCGACUCCAUAGUCAAGUACAUAGGCUUAAAGCAUAUCCUUAAGAAUAUGAUUCAUUUGCUAUAUUUAGCCAUCAUUCUGCAGGUGAAACACUGAACUGAAGUUGAGUCGAAUGCCGAGAAUCUUACGCAGAUUCUUCCAAAAUUAUGGCACAAACUAUGGGUACCUGUCUGAUAUAAUUGACACUAAUUAUUAAUAUUUCAUGGAAUCUCACAAUCUCAUCAAUGUAAAGUGACACAAGCCUAUCUCUCGCCUACGUCAUAUGAAUCAGUAUAAAUUAGGUAGAUUCAUUAGUCGAUCCAUGAUCACUCAUAUAGCAUCAUGUCCUUCUGUGAUCUGCCAAGAUUGUAAUGAAAUCCAUGGAGAUCUGCUCUUAUUUUCACACCAGCACUGGUAGGUUCUAUAGUUUCCUUGCCAGUUGUUGAUGUUCGAUCUUCACUUACUGGUACACCAAACACUAAGCGACAUAUUCAGCCACGUCACCCUUCAUAACAGGCUACUAUAAUAGUGUUGCUUCCUAAUACAUCUUAAUACUACCUGAAUGAAUAUUAUAGGCAAUCGGUGUGCCUCUAUCAUAAUCUUUCCUUUUACCUAGAGAUUGUUGGGUACCCAAGAUCGAUCGCGAAAUCGCUGUGUUAGUUAAUUUGCGAAUUAUUCGCAAAUUUUUGAGAAAAUGAAUUAAACUGCCAUUCGUAUUUUUUCGAAAAAUUUGGAAAAAAAAUGUGUUUUUUUAGGAAAAAAUACUUAUUCGUGAAUUAUUCGUGAUUCGCGAAUUAUUCGCCCAAAAAAAGGGGCCCUUGGGGCCGCGCCCGGGCCCGUGCUCGCGCCCGCGCCCGGGCCUAAGCUCGCGCCUGCUCCUUGGCCCGCACCCGCACCCCGGCCCGCGCUCGCGCCUACGCCCUGGCCCACACCCGCGCCCUGGCCCGCGCUUGCUCUCGAGCUCGCUUCCGCGCCCUGGCCCGCGCUCGCUUCCGCGCUUGCGAUUGCGGCCCGCCCAAAACAGAGAAAGUGAUCGCCAACAAGCAAGUGCGAUAAAAAAAAAACCUUUCCAAAAUCCAAACCUCGCACCAAAAAAAAAAAAUCUUUUCAAAACGUUCGCUCCUCCUCCCCCCCCCCUCUAAAAAAUAUCACUCGAUCAAAAAAUUUAUCUUUAUUUACUUAAUUUAUUAUUUAUUUUGAGGUAUAAAUAGUUUGUAUUUUUUUUUUACUUACAUUAGCUAAUGUUAUUCAUAAGAAAUAUGAGUAUUUAUGCUAAUAGCAUAAAUUUUGAGAGAAAAAAAACUUAAUUUAAUAGCCGAAUUUUUUAUCCCGAAUUUUUAAUUGAUGAACGUAUAAUAUCGGUAUAAAUCACGUAUCCAAAUAAUUGGUAAAUCCAUUUUUUAGCCGUAUUUUUCAACGAAUUUAAAAAUUAGAAGAAAGAAUUUUAUCUGAAUUAUACCCGUACCGAAUUUUUGCCGAAUCCGAAUUAACUAAUUAUGCGAAAUCGUAAAGCACCAUUGGGAUGCACACUGAAGUCGCUCGAUCUCUUUUCUAUCCUCAAUCUUACCUCAAUCCUUCAGCCUCAAUCGACGCAUCUCCUCUAGUAAGUGAGACUGCUCGGUGGCUAUCAAAGUAAGGUUCGUGGAGGAAUGCUUCUGGCGCAACGUACACGUCGGCCACGAUUUGGCUUUUUCCAUGUGGCAAAGUUAAUUUUUAAUGAAUUUUAAAAUUAAAUAUUUAAUUUAGAUUAACAUUGUAACUUUAAAUUCAAUUUUGAAUUCAGAUUUAAAUUUUAUACUUAAAUUUUAAAUUUAAAUUUAAAUUUCAAAUUCAAAUUUUAAUUUUUAAUUUUAAAUUCCAAAUAAAAAAAUAUUAAUUUGAAUUCAAUUUUUAAAUUCAAUUUAGAUUUAAAAUUAAUUUCUAAAUUCAAAUUUUAAUUUUUAAUUUUUAAAUUAUUAUCAAAAAUUAUUAGUGGGACCACUAAAUUAAAUUUAUUUAAAUAUACUUUAUACUAGUUUAUAAUAAUUUAAUAAAAUUUUUACUAAAUAACUUUCUAUAAUAGACAUUACUUUUAACAAAAAUAACCAAACGCCCUUUAACAUUUUUUUUAAAACACCAUAUAUUAUUAUCUAUUAAAUUAUCUAUUAAACUAUAUGAAAACUCAAUGUUUAAGCUGAUUUGGCAUACUCUCCUUAUUUUAGAGAGAGGAUUUAACUUUCAUUACUUUGUCUUUUCAUUAAAGCUCAAUACUUAAAUGACAUGUCAUGCAUAGCUAAUUUUGAGGAAGCAGUUCACACUUAAAAAACCGUACACAACCCUUCACCUUCUCUCCACCGUCCCAAUUAAUGUAUCUACGGUCCCAAUACAAUUACAACCGUUGCUUCUCUAUCUCCAUAGCGCCCCUCCCCUAUCUCCUCUCGUUUUUUCUUUUCUUUUUUCUCUCCUCUAUCAACAUCAAUUUUCUCCCUUACCUUCUCCUGUGCACUAUGGUAUCCCCUCUAUCUCUCUCGAGCUAAUGGCCCCCAUUAGACAGUGAGGGUUUCAUAGUCCUAGUACUCCUUGGGUUAGUAGACGUUGAGGUCGGUGUAGAUGCGGGCCUUGGAGGUGGCGUUAGGGCGGCGCACGAACUUGCCGAUGCACUCGGCCAUAGCGUCGGCGACGAAGGCGAUGGCCGGGAAAGGGCGAGUGACGGCAGUGGCAACAACGGUGAUAGAGAUCCAGCGGAGAGGGGAAAGGAGGGGACAUUGCUCCUGAGUUCUCCAUCGUUCGCAUUAGAAAGCAGGCGAUUGUCCCCUUCUACUCAACAUAAAAAUUCUUUCUUUUUUUUCCCUUUCUUAAGAAAAAGUUAUUAAAUUUGUGACUAUAAAGAUUCAUAGUUUUAGUCCAGCUCACAAAUUAUUCCAUAUUUGAAUUUCUAAUUUAGUUUUAAAUUAAAAUUGAAGCUUUAAGUUCAAAUUUAGAGUUUAAGUUUUAAAUUUUGAAUUUGAAUUUAAUAUCUCAAUUCAAAUUAAAAUUUAAAUUAUGAAAUUUAUUUUAGGUGUGUGAAUUCUCAUUAAAUAAUCUAAUUUUAUAUACUAUUCUAUAACAAUCAAAUAUUGGAUUGGAUUGUUGUUUGUCCAAUCCAAUCCUAAUCGCAAUCGUAUCCAAUGUUUCUGUGCUAUCCUAUCUAGUUCAAUAUUAAAUACCAAGCAUGCCAUAAGCGAAUGAUUUGUAAUGAUUCAAAGCGAAUGAUAUAAGCCCUUUGAUUUGAAGAAGGGGAUUUAAAGUCUAAGAAUUUGAAUGCAAAAAAAAAUUGUAGAUUGUAAUAUACAUAAAUAAAUUUAAUUAAUUUUUAGUCUCUUUAAUUUAUAUAUUAUAUUAUUUUUUCCUCACCAUGAUAAAUAUAUUUUGGCCCAUAUAUUUAGUUAAUAUAAAGUUGAGCUUUUCAAGUUUCUUGCCUAUACUGAGUAAGAAAGCAGAUAAUGAAAUUGUUUUGAUUAAUUAUUGUAUAUAUUAAUUUACUUGAUUUAUGCCGAUUAGUGACUUCUUUACUACAAAAUUUGAAUGCUUUCUCUUUACAGGUUUAACUUAUACUAGUGUAAGAACCGCACGAUGCGGCGAGUAGAUUCUAUAGCAGUAAACUAAUAUAUACAAUAAUUAAUCAAAACAAUUUCAUUAUCNUAAUUUAUAUAUUAUAUUAUUUUUUCCUCACCAUGGUAAAUAUAUUUUGGCCCAUAUAUUUAGUUAAUAUAAAGUCGAGCUUUUCACUAUCAUUUUUAUAUAUUGGAAGAAUAUAAUUUUCAAGUUUUUUGCCUAUACCGAGUAUGAAACCCGAUAAUGAAAUCGUUUUGAUUAAUUAUUAUAUAUAUUAGUUUACUGCUAUAGAAUCAACUUGCCGCAUCGCGAGGUUUCUACACUAGUGCUAUUUAUUUCAGUACUUUUUCAAUGGCACUACUUCCACAUUUAGGCCAAACAAGCUCAUAGUGUCAUUUUUGGAUAGAAAAACUUCAUUAUUCACACAUAAUAUCACACUAAUUAAAAUUAAUUAAGUAUAGCUAGAGGCUGAUUGAUCCAAUACUUUUGGUCAAAUUAUAUUACAGUGAUGGUUCUAUCAGAUGUAGAGACCUCUCAAAUUGGUGGAUUGGAUAAACCGCGUGAAUUAUUAUAUCUGCAGGUUACAUUGGCAUGGAUAAAUUUUAUUCGUAAAUUUUUUGAUAACCAAAAUCUUUACUCGUAGGAUCUGUCAGUCAUCCGCAAGAUUUUUUUUUUCUUUUUUACCUAUAUACUUUCAAAAGUAAAAAUAUAUAUACAUAAUUUUAAAAGAACAUAAUAUAACUUGCAUUUGAAAUAUCACAAAAUACAAUAAAUAAUAUAAAAUUUUAAAACACAUUAGUUAUAUAAUGUAAAAAUAUGUUAUUAUUCUAAAUUUUUGUGAUACAAAAUUAGUAUAGUUUUCAUUUACAAUGACUAUAAAUGAGCACUCCGUGUUCCGAUAUAGGCUAGGCUGCUGGAGGAUGGUGAUCAUACUACAACAAAAACGGUAUAUAGCAAUAUUUUUAAAUAUCAGUACAGAUCAAGAAAAAUGAUGUUGCCUAAAUUAUCGACACUUUCUAAAAGUGUUGCUAUAUGUAGGGUCGUUAUAUGUGGGAUCGCCUCGAUGUUUGGCACCCAUUCCUCCAGCAACCUGUGACGGAUUGACACGUGGUGAUCGUAACCCUUUACGGUCCUUGCAAGAUCCUUGCGGUCGAACUCCAGCCGCCGGAACCCCAUCUUGUUGGCUGCGACGGUGGAGGAGGAGAAGGGGAGAUGGUGAUCAAUUUUUCUUUAUUUUUUCCUUUUCUAUUUGUAAUCGGGCCGAGUGGACUGGGUGAGGUUGUUUGAGUAGAAGAACUUUUUAUUUUUUGGUUGGAUUGAGUUUUAUUUUUAGGCGUUAGUAGAUUUUUUUAAAAAAUUUUAGUAUAAAUGUGACACUUACACAAAAAUGUCUCAGAAAAUGUCUCUAUAAUCUAAUUUUGUUGUAGUGUGUGCGGUGCGGGGGAAGAGGCAAAGCGGAGGAGAGGUGGUCAGAGCAAUUAGAAAAAAAAGAUAUGGAAAGAAACUAGGAUUAGAAUGGUUAGAAAUGAAUAAACAAAAAAAAUAUUUUUUAAUUAAAAAAAUAUAUGCGGGUGUUUGUGGGUAUCCGUGAGUUGCUCAAAUUAUUCAUAAUUUAAUAGAUACCCACCCAUUUUAUCUAUAAUUUUCUAAGUAAGAAAAAAUAGUGCACAUAUUCGCAACUUUGCGGGUAACCUGUAGGUACCUACGGGAUCCGAUAGAGAUUGUCAAGUCUAAUUAGAUGAGACAUUUUUUAUAUAAUUUAUUUGUAAGUAUGAUAUUGGCAAUUUUAAAAAGAUAUAUAGUUGUAAUAUUUUGUAACUUUUGAGCGACACUGUUGAAAUUGUUCCAAACAAUAAAUUUGAGAAAUUAUAUUUGGUCUAUUAAUUGUUGAGAGAGUCUCCAUACUUUUUUUCUUUAUUUUUUUUUAUGAUCCACGUUAUACGGAACAUGCAUGCAUAUAUAUUUCCAGUGCCAUGCACGUUGCAUUUAAGGAGUGCACUUUGGUCCACGUUUACGUUUGAACCUGCUCAACCACCUCAGCGUUGAAAUGUUGCUUUCGAGCAAGGCCCGCUAAUAUAUUUAAGGGAAAACUUCAAAACAUCCCCUGUAGUUUCGUAGUUUUUCACUUUACUUUUCUAUUGUUUAAAAUAUAUCAAAUUACUCCCAUGUAGUUUCGUUUUUAUCUUUUCGAUAACUUUUUCGUUAAUAUUUCAUUAAAUUAUAUACAAAAAACUUCAGAUAUCCAUCUAGAUUUAUCAAAUAUUCACUUUAGUACCCUUUAAAUUAACUUUAUUAAUGAUUUAAGAAAAAAAAAUAAUGAAAUUGAUAAGAAAAAGAGAAAAAAGAAACCACAGAGGAGCAAAUUGAUACAUUUUAAAUCACAGGGGGGUAAAGUGAGAAACUAUGAAACCACAGGGGUUUUUUUUUAAGUUUUCCCUAUAUUUAAAGCUCACAAGAAGGCAAAAUAGAAUAUUUUUUUAGUGCAAAAAUGCACGGAAACACCUCUAACUAUUCAAAAUGUUAUUUUCAAAUCGAAUAAUUUGAGAAAAACUUUAAAAGGAAUGUUACCGGUGCACUCUAAAAUGAGAUAUAUUUCUUAUACUCACUUUAUUUAAGAGCUAUUAAUUUUUCAUUUGUCAUAUCAAUUUUUCUUUUUUUUUUUACUGUCCUAAGAUGAGAAGUGUUAGAUUACAUUCACUUUUUGGACAGGACAAGUAUUUAGGGUUAAUUGCACUGUUGUCCCUAACAUUUGCCACGUUGUUUUCACUUUUUUGAUCUUCUUGCUUUUUUUUAUAAUCAAAUCUCCAGCCUCGUCUUUGCAUUGCAAUUAAAUUCAAACUAUUAAAAAAUCUUUUAAGGCUUCGUUUGGGAUUACGAAAAGAUUACGUUACAUACAGUGAGAAAGUACGAUGAAAAAAUAUACACGAUGAGUCGGUUAUGAUAUAUUUUUUGCGAUCUCAUUGGAGAACGCAGAAACAUAUCCCUAUAUGUUUUUUUUCUAACUCCAUUUUAUCUAACAGUAUCAGAUAGACCUGAAUACCAAACUAAACCUAACCGCCAUGUCAGUGCUUCGUUAGUACUUGGGCCUAAAGAAAAAAAAACGAAAAAGUUAAGGACCAAUGCUGCAAUUAAAGUUAAAAUUAAGAUUUUAACUAAAAAACUAAAAUUAAAUUUUGAAUUUGAAUUAAAAGCAUUAAGUUUGAUUUGAACAUAAAUUUGAAAUUUGAAUUGGAAUUCAAAAUUUGAAUUUGACUUUGAAAUUGAAUUUAAAUAUUGAUAUCAAAUAUUGAAAUUUAGUUUUGAUAUCUUGAAUCAAUACUGGACUCUAAAUUUGAAUUCGAACUCAAAAUUUAAAUUUAUAUUCAAAUUUCAAUCCAUGAAAUUUAAAAUUUAAAUUUAGACUACAAGUUCAAUUAAAUUUCUAAGUUUCGAAUUUAUAUUUUGACCUUAUAUUUGAUUUUAAAAUUGAAUUCUGAUGCUGAAUUUGAUUUUCAAAUUUAAAUUUAAUUUUGGGUUAAACUUUUAAAUUUAAAUUCUAAUUUAUUGAAUUUAAGUUUUAAAUUUGAAUUCAAUUUCGAAUUCAAAUUAAGAUUUUGUACUUAAAUUUAAAUUUAUAUUUAGAUUUUGAAUAUAAUUACAAAUUUAAUUUCAAACUUAGAUUUUGAAUUUUAUAUUCAAAAUGUGAUUUCGAAUUCAAAUUUAGAUUAGAAAUCAAAUAUCAAAUUCAAAUUCAAAAUUUGGAUUGAAAUUUAAAAAUUAAAUUCAAAUAUUGUAUUAGAUUGCAUAUUAAAAUUUGUAUUUUGAAUUCAAAUUUUAAUUUUAAUUUUAAAUUUUGAUUUGGUAUUCAAAUUUCAAUCCAAAUUUACAUUCAGAUUUUAAACUUAAUCUUUUAAAUUCAAAUUCAAAAUUAGCAAAAUCUAAAUUUUAAUUUCAAAUUCAGAUUUGGAAUUCAAAUUUCAAUUUAAAUUUACAUUCAGUUUUUAAACUUAAUAUUUUAAAUUCUAAUUCUAGUUCGAAUUUUGAAUUUAAAAUUUUGAAGUGUAAUUCAGAUUUUGAAUUCAAAGUAAAAAUCAAAUUUACAUUUUAAAAUUAAAUUUAGAUUUUGACUUUGAAUUCAAAUUUAGGAUAAGUUUGGUUCAAAAUAGUAAUAAGAAAUAUUAAUUUAAAGGUGCAAUUUCCUUGUUAGGAGUGGGAAUGAAUCCGAAUCGAAAACGGAGCGAGGAAAACUUAAUUUGUUUGGUUCAUAAGAAGAACAGGAAUCAGAAUCAUGUUCAAAUUAAAAUUUAAAAAACUGAAUUUUAAUUAAUUUUUAAAUUCACUAUUUAGAUUCAUAACAAAAUUUAAAUCAAAAUUUGACAAUUAGAAUUUAAAUUUAAAUUUAGAACUAAAUUCAAAUAUCAAACUUAUAUUAGAAUUUAAACUUGAACAUAAGAAAUUAAAAAUUAAAUUUUGAAUCUGUAAUUCCAUUCAAAUAUAUAAAAAAUUGUUAGUGAAAAGAAGAUUUUUUUUUUUUUUUCCUCAAUCCUUUCUGGAGCAAAAGUUGAGUUCCAUCUUCUUGGGGGGAAUCAUCUUGGCAGAUUCGAUUUCUCUCAGAAUAAUAAUCAGAAUAUCAAUGGCUAAAACCAAAGUUACCAAAGAACAAUAUAUAAUAGGAAUAAAUCAUUGGACUUUUUUUUAUAAAUUAACCCUCUAGAAUUUUAAAAUUUGCAAAAUAAUUUUUUCAAAAUUAUAUUUGUAAGAAUAACCCUCAUUUCGCCACUUAGGCGUCAGGGCAGAUGUUUCUUAUGAAGACGGUGAAUGGUUUACCGUAUUCAGUAAAAUACGGUGAACCAUUCACCGUUUUCAUUAAUUAUAUUAGUAAGACGGUGAAUCGUUCACUGUCUUAUUAAAGAUGGUAAAUGAUUUACCGCCGUCAUAAAAAAAAUCACCCCUACGCCUACGUGGCAAAAUGAGGGUUAAUUUUAUAAAUAUAAUUUUGGAAGAAUUAUUUCGUAAAUUUUAAAAUUGUAAAGGGUUAGUUUAUAAAAAAGUCCUAAAUCAUUUUGAUUCCGAUUACAAACCUCAAACCUUCGGACCAAAUAUUCCCUUAUUAGAGUCAGUACUAGUUAAGGUACCCACGCGAUGCUGCGGGUAGUUAUUUUAAAAUUUAAUUUUGAAAAUUAGUUAUAAAAAUUAAUUUAAAGAAUUUAAAUGGUGCAAUAAGUAUAUCAAAAAAUUUUAGCCCCCCAUUAGUUAGUGAAAUAAUUUUAGUAAGUAUCGUAGUCCCCCAGUAGUUAGUGAAUGAGAAGAGAAAUCAUUGUUUGUGAUUCUCGCAAUUAAUUUUCGUCAAAUAUAAAAUUAAUUUAAGUUGCAUCAAUUUUUUUUUAUUUUUUAAUAUACAAUUUAUAUGUGAAUGCUUAAUAUGAUAAAAUUAACAUUUAUAUCUAAUACCAAUAGUCUAAAUUAUUUAACAUUUAUUUAUAUAUUUUACAUUUUAUAAAAAUAAAUAGUAAAUUAUAUAAUAAAUUAUUAUAUAAUAAUAUAUCUAUAUACAAAUAAAAUACUAUAUAUAAUAAAUAAAUAUAUAUUUAUAAAUAAAAUUAUAUAUAUAAUAAAUAAAUAUAUAUUACUAGAGAGAGAGAGAGAGAAUGAGACGGAGGUCCACCGUUGGACCUCUCUCUCAUGUGCGUCACUGAGGCCGAAGUGGCCUCGUGGACCCCUGAUGAAACACACGGCUAUGAGCCGCCCCGAUGUUUUCGGCUUUCGCGCAGAGCACGCGGCUGCGCCACGCGUCCCCCGCCCUAGCGCAGCCCCACGCCGCUGACCCGCGGCCGCUCCGCUUACGCCUUUCGUCCCCGAGCCCGCCCGCGCCGGGCACCCGUUCCUCGUCCCCCGCGCGCGCCAGGCCGGAGCCCGCCCAGCGCCGGCGCUGCUCCCGCGCUAGCCCCUGCCUCGCCCGCCGCCGCUAGCGCCGGAGGCCUACCCCCGAGCCAGCGCCCGCGCAGCCCCUGCGCAGCGCCCGCGGCCGCCCUCGCCCGCUCCUCGGCCUCCCCACGCCUCGGCUCGCUCCCGCACCGUCGAGCGCCCCGCGCCCGCGCCAGCGCCAGCACCCACACCCUCGCCCGCUCCUCGGCCUUCUCGCGCCACGUAUGCAGUUAUUGAGGAAUAAUAUAUAGUUAUAGAUUAUAGAUUAUAGAUUGAUUUUGAAUUUACAAGUCUAUUUGAGAUUUAGAAGUCCUAGGUUUAACUCUCCAAACGUGUCUAAAAUUUGGGACUUGAGUCUCACAAUUCAAGUUAAAUAAUAGGGGCAAUAGUUUAUAUAGCCUUGAAAAGUUUUCGAUUUUCUGAUUUACCUCUCUUAGAAGGCUAAUAUUGAAAAUACAUUUUUUACGUUUCAACCUAUUUCAAAUAUAUCCCUAGAGUUAAAUUCUGUUAAUGAACUGUUAGCAAUAACUGUUAUCUGUAUGAAAUUACUACUUAACCUUUCAAAUAUACCCUUCUACCAUCAUUGACUUUUCUUAUUUGCCCUUAAGUCAGGGGCACAAAAAAUAUUUAAUUUUUGAUCUUUUCAAAUAUACCCUUUUACCAUCACUAAUAAUUUUUAUUUGCUCUUAAGUUAAGGGCAAAAAUGGUAUUUUAAUUUUUUAAAACUUUAGUAGAUAUUUAACUUACGUUUAACUUAAGUUAACUUAAUGGGUGGUAACUGCACGGAUAUUUUGGAAUAACGGAGGUACAUAUGAGGGGUAUAUUGAAAAAAAAAAGGGUACGUAAAAUAUUUUUGAAGUUUUCAGUGGAAGCUUUUACAGGCUUGAGCCCUAUGAGUUUCUAAAUAGAAAAUAUUUUGACUAUUUUUAUGCCAUCAAAUAUAUAUAACAUUUUCAAUUACAUGUAUGAACUAAUCAAAGUUUUUUUUGCAUUAAGACAACAUUUUCAUAUCUAAAUUCAUAUAAUUUGUUUUCAUAUCUAAAUUCAUGGAGUUUGGUGAAGAGUUUGGUAAAGAAUAAAGUACAAUUUAGAAAGUGGAAGCACCCCUAAAUUCCAAUCAUUUAAAAUGAGAUAAUAAUUUCA
rnacentral:lncRNA from 1 species